rnacentral:lncRNA from 1 species
CAAGAAGGAUGAGAAGGCCGUCAACGCCGCGCGCCGCUCCGGCGCCGAGAUCGAGACCAUGAAGAAGUGUGAGUGGUGCCCUAGCUCUCGAUUGGCUCCCCCCAUCUUUUACUGGAUCGAUUGGGGACUUCGUUUUCUCGUUGCGGAUUCGUACGGAUUUCGAUUUCGUCCGUCUUGCUGGCGGUCGUGCUGUUCGAUUGGUCAGAUUCGACGAUUAGGGUUUCGUUAUUUCGGUGCUUCUGAUUUAUUCUUUGAUGCUUUUGUGUACUUUUCGGGAUUUUUCCUUGCUUUAGCUAGCUAGGGUUUGAGGAAGUUUCGAUCGGUGCUAUCGAUCUUUGGGUUGUUUUUUUUUUCUGCUAUUUGUUUCUUUACCAAAAAAAUUUCCAGCACUUCUCUGAUUUCUCUGAUUCUGCUUGAUCUGUGUGUUGACAACUUUUGUUGUUUGCAGACAACGCUGGGACGAACAAGGCGGCGUCCAGUGGCACAUCCCUCAACACCAAGCGGCUCGACGACGAUACUGAGAAUCUUACCCGUGAGCAAUCAUUAUCCCCGACCAUCUUAUGCAUUAACAAAUUAUCGUGAUGCUUAUUUUCUAAUCCGUUCGGGGACUAUCACCUCGGAUGUAUGAUAAAUUAAUUAGGAUCUAGGUUCGGUUGUCUCAUAGUACUUUGCUUGCUAUUGUAAUCUCAGUGGUGUAGAGAUGGAAGUCUUGACUUGAUACUAAAAUUUUCCCACUUUAUUAGCGAUGCUGAUAUUCAUUUGUUUGCUAGAAAAAAAUGUUAUCGGGGAAGUAUUGUAUACCAUUGUGCAUAUAGUUUUACCAUGUUUCUAGCAAUUGCAUAGUUAUGCCAAAGCAUAGAACACAGGUAAAGUUGUUUUUUGUUGGUCAGGGUUUUGAUUAAAGGCAUGUUUCCCCGCAUUAUAGUAUAUGUACAUUGAAAUUCUUGUAACCUUGCUGUUGUUAAGGGUGCAAGAAUAUCACUGUAUUUUCGGAUGAGAACAUUUUUUUUGCUUGUUGCAUUGACCUGUGCAAAUAUAUGUCUUUCAACUGAUGUCCCACGGUCAAUAUCUGGUACACACUUAUCAAUUUUGUUUUUUUUUUUAAAUUGUUCGGUGCCUACUAAGUAGCUGUUUAUUCAAGCUGUUCAAGGUUUCAGUAACAAUAUUUUUAUCACGUGAGCAUCUUGCAUGAGUGAUAAUCUGCUUACAAUAGUAACUCUAUUGGCUUGUCAGGGCAUGUGGUACUUUUGUGAUAUGUAGACAUGGGGUUAAUGUGUAUGAGCUGCAAUGCCAUAGUAUCAAUGUAAUGCUGACAUGCUUACAAUUUUUUGUUGGUGGCGCCAAUGGCUUGCUAUGAUAUGUUAGUAGACAUAAUAUUGUCAGCCUUAAAGUGCAAUCUGUAUAGUAUGAUUCUAGUGUAAUGGAAAUUUACAAAGUGUAUCAAAAGCUUGGCACUUCUGCUCAGUGUGUCCUGAUCUGAGUUUAGAUUACAUUGGUCCUUUGCCCAUUAGUUCCUGACCUCUACUUUAGAUUACAUCAUGUUUUGGUUCGCUUCAAACUAAUACUUUUUCAAGUCUGAGUGCUACAAUGCAAAGCUUUGGUCUUUGCUGCUGGGUGUAAUACUUAUUUGGUCAAGGAAAUAUGUGACUUCUUGCUGAGAUCUGUUCGAAAAUUGUGUUGUGAGCUUUUCUUUAGUCCAAUGGCUAUGGUAAUGAUGAAAUGGGAGCAAUGCAAUGCACCUUUUUUUUUUGGUUUGUUGAGUCAUGAUUAGUUCCAAGGCUCUGGGAUGCUCGCACUUUCAUGUCAACUCUGUUAGUUCUGCAACAAGUUGUUUCAGCAUUAUUUCAUGGACACACAGUGCCAGUUUCCCGUAGCAAUUUUAUCUGUAUGAAAAUAAAUUAUACAAUAGUUAGUGUUUUGUUUUAUCAUUGGGGCAUAUUUGGUUCAUAUGUUCUGUGUGGAUCUGUACAAAAGAUCAACUUUUGGAUCCAUCACUUACCUCAUUUCAUUUCACAUCUUAAAUGAAGAUGAAUUAGAUAUCGAGGAAUCACUACAGGAUGUCACUGUUGUUUCCAUACCGACCUAGUAUGGACGGCUAUCAAUUCGAGUAGUUCAGCACUGGAAUGGAAUAUAAACUUGUUGCAUCUAUUCGAAUACCAUGCGCUAGUUCAAACUUCAAAGUAAACAUGAUCCGAGUCCCCCACAGAAGAUUGCACCAUGCUUUACAUGUAUUUCAUUUCAUAACUAGCAUUCUGAUAAUAACUGAUGUCAUCUCACUUUGUGCUAGAUGAGCGUGUCCCAAGUGACCUGAAGAAAAACCUCAUGCAAGCAAGGCUGGAUAAGAAGCUGACUCAAGCACAGCUUGCUCAGGUAAUACAAGUAUUUACAAAUAUAGUUCCAUUCUUUCCUGAGCAAAUGGGGGUGUGGCCUUCUAAUUAAAUGGCAUUUUAUUUUACUACCACAGAGUGGCAACAUGGUAUCAAAGUGGUAGUUUUGCAUAAAGUAGAAUUUUCCAAAGAGAUGAAAAUAUGCUCUUACAACUACUGACAAUAUGUCAUGUGGGAACAGAUGAUUAAUGAGAAGCCACAAGUGAUCCAGGAGUAUGAGUCGGGCAAGGCGAUCCCUAACCAGCAGAUUAUUGGCAAGCUCGAGAGAGCCCUGGGAACAAAGCUGCGUGGUAAGAAAUAACUUGCGAACUGGUGCCCUGGAGCAGCAUGAAGCUGAAGAAGACAAGGCUAUCUGUCUGCUUAUUAUCUAUGCUUGGUUUUCAAAGUCAUGCAGACUAUUUCUGUGUUGGUACAUGAGUGAAUAACAGUGUCGUGGGUGGACCUUGUAAUGCUUUGCUGCUUUGAUGUGUCAUAUGACCUAGUGCGUAAGAGUUGCGCUAAGCUGUGAACUGAUAGCGUAACCUGCGUGAUGCUGGUGCAUGAUGAUGCUUUCUACUAGUGGUUGUUAAUGAUGUCUCAGCUGCUUGCCGGAGGUAUAUUUUGGGUCUUCGCUGAAGCAUUGAUAGUAUCCACGGUAAUAUUAAGCGUGAGAAGCUGUCAUCCGGCGGUUAAAACUGCGAUUAUGCUGUAAGGAUUUGACGGGUAGCCUGAAUUGGGUUAAAACCGCGAUUAUGCUCUAAGGAUUUUACACGGUAGUGAUUUGGGCUCACACCCGGUGCUAGGCUAUCUACAGUGAUUUUUUAAAACAAUGAUGGUUGUGAUCAAUCCUAGCAGUUAGUUUCCCAAACCACUUCAGCUGCUACAAAUCCGCUGCCUCCCUGCGGCCUUUCGAUCGGAUGCAAAGGCAGCCACUGACAUGCUGUGCCUCUGGUGGGCUCAAAGAAAAACAGCUGUUGGGCUUGCUUCCCUUCCCCGCCGACCCAGCGCAGCUAAACGGGCCUGCAAAGUUAGAUGUAGCCCAUCAAUGUAAAGCACAUGGGAAUUUGAAAACCUAGCUUCCGGAAGCCCAUUUGUUACGUGGCCUUUUAAGAUUCGUGUUAACAAUUUUGUCCAGGACCUUGCUGCUGCUACCGCCGGCUGCACGCCCCCGCCGUGCGUGGAGCGCGCUGCUGCUGUCGCCGCUAGCGCUGUCGAUGCCGUGCACGCCGUCGUUACUGCUGCUUCCGCUGCCGCCGCCGUGCGCACCGCCACCAGUGAUGCGCCGUUGACGAAGAAGCUGCUAGAAGUUUUUUUUUUUGUCGAAAUGUCGAAUUAGGUUUAAAAAAUAUUUUUUUUGAAAUGUUGAAUUAGGUUUAAAAACUGUUGAAUCUAAUUUUUGAAAAUGUUGAAAUAGAUGGUAGUAAAUGUUAAUGUGGUAUUUUUCUACAAAUGUUGAUAUAUUAGAGGGAUAUAGGUACCCCACGGGUCUCCACCGACUAGGAUACUGGCCGGUCCUGACAAGUGGACCCGCCCGACCAGGGCGUGUGGGUCAAGGACGUCAAGAUACUUGUAGUACAAGUCAAGGAGCGGCUCGGAUAUUGUGGACACGUAUUGUAGUCCGACACAGAUCACCCUCCAUGUAACAACCGAGUAGAUAGAUUUAAACCGACUAUAACCCUAGGUUGCAAGCCUAUAUAAUGCGGCCAAGGGUGCCACCCGUGGGCAACUCAGAACCCAACACAUCAACUCUCGAGCAAUACAAACCACCAACAUACAGGACGUAGGGUAUUACUCUUCGGAGGUCUGAACCUGUCUAAAAUUCUCGUGUCCCUCGUGUUCUUGCGAUCACUUUUGAGUUCUUAGUUUCGCAAUCCCCUCUACCUACAAAUCAACCACUUGGGUAACCCCCUAGUGGACUGCCGGGAUACUAAAUCCGAUAAUUGGCGCGCUAGGUAUGGGUUAUUGUAAGAUCCACCCCAGCGAGCUCGAUGGCAUCCCGCCCUAGCGUCGUCUUCCUCGAGAGCAUGAAGGACUUCCUCGCCAAACCGAUCUAGCUCCACUUCGGGAGCAUGAUGGUGGGCUUUGACUCCACUACCUCCUCCAUCGACUCGGCGUCCGCCGCUAGCUCAGCAUCCGUCGGAUCUGCUUCGACGGAGCAAAACCUCCACUCGAGGAUCAUCACGCCGCUUGCCCAGUAGGUCAGCGAUCUCUCUUUCUCUCUCUCUAAGAGGAUUCCGAAAAUCCUAGCUGUGACCCGCCCACCCACGCGUUCCGACCUGAUCGCGGGGCUAGAUCACAUCAGCAACACUAUUGCUGAGUGCAUAGAUCUCUCUAAGGUGGCGCUACACUGAACCAGGUCGGCGUAGGGUCCUUCCCUCGCCCCCUUUGGUCUGAGGAACUCGGCUACUGCGAUUUCCGUGAAACACGCGCAGUCCCUUCAGAUCCAAUCUUGGCAUCAGCAACACCCACGCCCUCCGAGUUGAUCGCAGGGCUAAAUCACAUCAGCAAUACUAUUGCUUAGUGUAUAGAUCUCUCUGGGGUCACCACAAAGUCACCAAGUGGAUUGAGGUCAAGGCUGUCACCAGCAUCGAGUUGGCUAAAGCCACUCAGUUCGUGGAGGAAAUCACACACCGCUUUGGAGUGUCAAAUAGGAUCAUCACCGACAUUGGCAAGCAGUUCACAGGCUCCGAGUUCUGGGACUUUUGCCAGGACAACCUUAUUGAUGUGUACUACUCCUCAGUAGCACACCCACGCUGCAACGGACACGUCGAACAUGUGAACGGAUGGUCUUCCAGUCCCUCAAGUCGCGCAUUUUUGAUGACGCGUCUAAGUACGCCACCAAGUGGCUACGCGAGCUACCCCAUAUCAUCUGGGGCCUACGAACUCAGAAUAGCCGGGCUACCGGCUAUACCCUUUUCUUCAUGGUGUAUGGCUCAGAGGCCAUCCUGCCAUCCGACGUGGCCUUCGGCGCCCCACGCAUCUAGUACUAUGAGGAAGGCAAGGCAGAAACAAGUUGGCGGGUUGACGUCGAUAGCCUUGAGGAGCAUCGAGUGGUGGCUCUCAUCUAGCAUGCACGCUAUGAGUAGCAGGUACGAUGCUACCAUGAUUGGAAUGUCAGGGAACGCUCCUUCAACGUUGACGGUUUGAUGCUUCGCCGGAUCCAGUCCACUAAGGACAUGCACAUGCUGGCCGCCCCUUGGGAGGGACCUUUCAUUGUUAAAGAGGUCAUCCAGCCAGGCACCUAGCGACUCCAAUGGGCGGACGGCUCAGGCGUCCCUAACCCGUGGAACAUCGAGCACCUACAGCGCUUCUAUUCUUAGGAUUUAAAAGCUAUGUAGUCUAUUUUCCCCUUUUUUAUUGAAUGAAUAAAACCUCCGAGGUUCUUUGCGUACCUACUGCCUUACUGUUCCUUUGCCCAAGCUAUUUCUGAUGCUUGGGGGCUGUCCGACCUGUUCGACAGACCACUCGCUCUCAAGCUCGGGGGCUUCCCCCAGGUGCGAACGUCCGGGUCUUGCAUCCUUCUCCACCCCCUCUCGAGGCAAUACGACUAACUCGUGUGGUUGGCGUUCUAGCUCGCGAAACCUAGACAACCUUGCGUUCACCCCUCCCACAAGCUUGAGAUCCGCUCUCAGCUGGACGCUGGUCAGGCAAGGCUAGGCGCUUAUUAGCUACAAGCCUCAGCUACACGUUGUCCUAUCGUAUACACCAAGGAAGGGAUGGAGAUCCUUUCUCCUUGCAUACGCAAGUCAAUUACAUCACAUGUUUUAUCAUACAGAUUGAUACACCACAAAAUUUUAUCUUACAGUUUUAGAUCGUUGACAAUGUUUUCCGCUACAUCAUAAUACUGGUCGGCCAGUUCUGGAAGCGCCUCUGCAUCGAAGUUGGCUGCAACCCCUCCUCCAGCAUGUUCCAAGGGGACCCGCGGGAAGUGUGUCUUCAGCACUACCAAGACAUUUUUGACACACUUCUCCGCGGUGUCCUUCAGCAGCUCCUCAGCCAACCAGGUGCGACCUUGAGGUGAUCGAAUAGCAGCGUUGGCGUGGUUGGGUCGAUCUCUGGUUGGACCAUGUCCAUCACAUAGCCAGCCGUCUUAGGAAGAUCCUCUAGCUCCACCUCCAACCCUGCAAUUACUAGUUGGUCAUGCUGAAGACUACAUAUUGCAGCCUCUAAGCAGCGCUCAGUAUCUUUGCGUUCAUUGGCUUCAUAAGUUAGCUUCUGCGAUACGGCAUACUCAUGAUGAACCGCCACAUCAUGUUCUUGCUAAAGGUGUGCAUUUGAGUCCUCCUACUCUUUGAGGUGCCACUUGAGCCUUUGCUCCCUGAACUCAGCAUCUGCUCAUUCAAAUAAGUAUAUAUCAGCACCAAGAUUACAAGAACAAAACCGAGUUAACAGGUUGGGGUCGGGCAGUGGUUAGGGGAGAAGAGCUGGGUGGAGGCUCACUAGCCAGCGAUGCUGGUUGGUGAGCGGGAUGCGGAGCGUGUAGAGAUCUUCAGGCCAUUGGCCUAGCAGGAUUUUGAGCAUGGAAGAGCGUCUUUGCCUUACGUACACAUAGGCCAGCGGAGGGAGCCUGACUCGUCUUGUCUCACCGGCAGUUGGGCGGAGCGUGGGAGCCGGUAGGCGGAGUCGGUGUGGCAUGCUCCGGUGGGGUGUGGCGGCGUGCGUAUUGGCGAGCGGGGAUGGUGUGCAGGGGGUGGAUUUGUGCUCGGCGCGUGAGUGGGCAGCUUGGGGCUCCGUUGGGUCUUGUCAAUGCUGGCGGUUGGGCAAGGCGUGGACACCGAUGUGGCGGCGCCAUGCGGUGCUCUACGAGAUUGCCCGAUCUGGGUGCACAUGCAGUGCAAGGGGGCUAGGUUUGAGGCAUUUUUGCGCGAAAUUUUCAAUUCAAAUUUUGCCAACUCCAAAUAUAAAACUUUCAUUUUAAACUAUACUCUACAAAUCCUAGAAAGAUAUUAGGUACAAAUUUGUGCUAAUUUGGAAGUUAUUUGAUGCCAAAAUUCUUGGGAACGCCGGCUUUGAGGACUUAGCAGUUCUUUCGAUUUCAGGCAGAUUUUGGGUAUUUAGCCGACUUUGGAUCCAGUUUUGAAAUGGUUUGGCUCUGAUUUGGACCAAGAUCACAAGGUAAAAGUUGUAGUAUACAUUUAAUAAUCAAACUUUUGUAAAAGGUUCAGCUCAAGUUCAGUUUUGAAUUUGGGAGAAAUUUACAUGCCAAGUGGAAGACUUUCCCUGUUUUAGACUUAGAGCUGAGGGGCUGAAUUUGAAUUUGGUGCUAACUUUAGCCUAGAGUUUGAACAGGUUCUAUGGUGAAUUAGUUCAAUAUCUAAUUGACAAACUUGUUCUUCAAAGUACACUCUACAACUUUUGUAAAAUCUCCAACUUAAGAUCAGGUCUAGAAAUUUAAUAUAAAAGAAGCUAAAGUACUCUAAUCAGCUGUAUUUUCAGGACUUAGUGAUUUUGAGUAUGAGUUGAAUUGCUACUGAAUUUAAAUUUAGUCUUUGAACCUCUUCCACUUCAAAUCAGCAAAAGAGCAAAUAAGAAAACUUGUUUGUCUUGCAAGGUUCUACAACUCUUAUAUUGACAAAAAUUGAAAUUGUUGUAUAAAAUCUCAAGUUAUGAAUUGCUCCUAAAUUUAGCUUUUAAGGGGCAUUUUUGACCUUUCAAGUGCUAAUUAAGCUUCUAAUCACUCUAUUCAAGCUUAAGCAAGGUUAAUUAAUACUAGGGUUGUUACAUAUGGGUAUUCCAUGAAUCCCCACCGAUUAGGAUACUGGCCGGUCCUAAUAAGUGGGCCCGCCCGACCAGGCCGUGUGGGCUAAGGAUGUCAAGAUCCUUGGAGUACAAGUCAAAGAGGCCGGACGAUUCAAAUUGUACGGGAUAUUGCGGAUACGUAUUGUAGUCCAACUCAAAUUACUUUCCAUAUAAUAACCGAGUAGAUUAGAUUUAAACCGACUUGUCAAUCUAGGUCGUUAGCCUAUAUAAGGCGGCCAAGGGCGCCACCCGAGGGCAACCCAGAACCCAACACAUCAACUCUCAAGCAAUACAAACCACCAACAUACACAACGUAGGGUAUUACUCUCCGAAGGCCUGAACAUGUCUAAAAUCCUCGUGUCCCUCGUGUUCUUGCGAUCACCUUUGAGUUCUUGGUUUCGCAAUCCCCUUCACCUACAAAUCAACCACUUAGGUCGGGCUACUAAAUUUGACAAUAUUUUUAGAAAAUGUUGAAUAAGUUGUUUGUAAAUGUUGGUGUAAUUUUGAAAUAAUGUUGAAUCUGGCAUGUUAAAAUAUUGAAUUAAGAUUCUAAUUUGGAACUAAUGGGCUUUCAAGUUAGCAUGCUUAUCGGGCUUGUGGAAGCUAUAUAGCUGCCCCCAUGGUAAUUCGCCUGAUUGCCGCAGUGCCAGCGGAGAUAAUCAGCCAGGAAUUUGUCAUAUCGUGAUGGAGAUAUGGUAACCAUCCCAUAAUAAAAUCAAGCAAAUCCAGAGUGAAGGAGAGAUCAGUUUUGUUCCUUCAGAAUAAUAACCGUGACCCAAGAAAUUAAUCGAUUAGGAAAAAAAAAAUGCCCAUUGACAAGAUGAAGGAUAAGUUCUUGGACCGAAUAGCUAAAUGAAAGAAUCAACAAACGACCGAUCUUCAGACUUCAGAUCAACUUUUUCCCUCGAAGUACAUGACAAUAAUUUUAAAAUGCUUAAUUCAAAGUCCAAAUUCCAAAAAAUACACUAAUAAUCCAACAAAAAGUUUCUUCUAAACGACAAAUAUAUUCAUAAAAUUCUAAACAACUGAUCUUUCUACUACAAUAGCACGUGUACCUACGGUAUAGUUUCUGUGAUUUUCUACGGGAAAUGUGUUUUGUUGUGCUUGUAGAAAUAUUUAUCCAUUCUUCAUAGUUAUUUUCUCAAAUAUCACUUAUAAUAUCACUGUAAUUGCUAUUUCAAACUCUUGAAUAUUAUACACGAGAUGUAUUGUUGUGCCUGCGGGCAACAUGCCGGGUUAUGGCUAGUUUUUAUAUUACUCUCAGCCCGCUUCCUAACUCCCUCGGAUAUGCUCGUGGCAAUUUUUUUUAUCCUUGCCACAGCAAACUAUGGAUUAUAAAGAUUUAUUUCAACGUUUAAAGAGAUGUUUUUAAAUUUUCGUUUGGAUAAUUAGUUAAGGAAAUAGUUUGUGAGCCAUAUUAAAUGGACUUUCAUAUCUCUGGUGCCUUAAGUAUGUGAAUAUUAUCUGUACUCCAACAAGCAAGAUACGGUUAGCUAGUAAGUGGUUGAUCUAUGUUAUCACUUAUCUGGUUAUCCUACAUGGAGGGGGGGAAAAGGAUGAUAGAUAAGAUUGCUAGCUACUAAUUAGUAGUCAAUCUUGAACGGUUAUUAUACAAACUUGACAAACUUGAUGAGGGUGCGCGCUUAGGUACAUCAGGUAUCUAAUUGAUGACUGAAAAUGAACAUCGUCAACUUAAAGAAAUUGUAGGAUAAGCAACGGCUUUUUCAGAAAACAAUGGCUAACACAUAACCUGCUUACAUGGUAUUUGUUCGUCUAUGUGUCAUCUCAGCAACCCAUCUCCACCCAUGUGCCAAGUUGUUAAACCUAAGAUAAACGAUUACACAAAUGAUGUACCUAAAUAUACACUCUUGCCAAGUUUAUGUACUAAUGAUAUAUUUAACUCUUUUAUUAUUUCAAUUACAUUUUAUCCGUAUUAAAAUGGAAGGGUUGUGGCAGAACCACCCAAAUUAACCCAGCUAAAGUGUUCUCAACGUCGCCUCAUAUGCGAACCACACUUUAAUCAACUCAAUUUGGCAGUCCGUCAGGUUAUACCCGAUAAACCUCGGAUCGAAUGAAAAGCAUCUCAUACGAAGGCGAGUCCAGAGAUUACAACAUUCCAGUACUUAAAGCAUAGAUCCGAAUUAAGUUAUUACACAUCCAUUGCUCAAAAAUUCAUAAGUAAAAUGUUCAGAGUUUCAAAGCAGUGGAAAAAUGAUAACAACUACACGUCGAUACAAAAUAUCACGACGAAGCCAACCAUGAUAUCAAUAACCGCGAUCCUCGCCGUCCGAGGAUGGGUUCCACUCGACCGUCCAACAUGAAGGGAGCUAGGUCGGCCAAGUCAAGAUAGCAGCACAAUCAUCAACAUCUAUCAUAUUACUUGAAAAAUAUAAGACACAAGCAAGGCUGAGUAUACUAAUACUCAGCAAGACUUAACUGUCAGGUGAUAACUACUCCACCAACUUCUAGACAUGCAAGGCUUUUUGGCUGAGGGGUUUGUUUGCCAAAAGCAUCAAAAGUGGGUCCUUACUUUCAAGUUUUAGCAUCAGGUUCUAGUUAAUUAUCCAUUCUAGAUAAGCAUCUAUUCAAAGCAAACAUGUGAUCAAGCAAUUUAAUUCAAGCAUCAGUAUUAUUCAUCACCAUUUGUUCCUCUUCUUACUCAGUGUAGAAGUGCAGUGAAGUAGUCUCAAACUAUGAGCGGCAAAUGAUUCGAAUCGAGUUUUUAACCUUGCAAGGUUAACUUAACCCCAUGAUAUAUGCUAAUGUCGCGCCGGGUUCACAUAUCUCAGUCGUCCCCAUCAAUUGGUGGCAUUUGUCCAGAGCCCACUUCCCUUGGCAUACAAUGCCCCAACGGUCCCAGAACGAUGUCGUACCGAGGCUGCACUUGUACCCACAUGAGGUCUCAUGGGAACUCGGUUCCAGAGAGAGUGGGGUAAAGGUCCAUGCCGGUUCAAUCAGGUAUUAGGUUUCCCUAUCCCAUACUAUGUAUGAGAUUAGUACUUUCAAACACUUGAUCAUUGUUCUAACACAUCUCGACCUUAGUAGUUUUUCACUAGACAGACGGGGCAAUCCAACAUCCACCAAAACAGAACAUAUAGCCCAGCCCCGCCCGUCAACCCUUAUGGUUGCAACAUAUUUAAUCAAGCAAAUCCUAUAGCUCGCGAGUGAAAGAAAAAAUCACUCGAUUUUUACUGUGUCCCUAUUUAGAGUUGCAACUACUCAUCUUAACAUACUAGUAUUCAGCACAUAGGUACCUAGGAUUAUGCAACUAGGGUUUCAAGCAACUCCUAUGAACGUAAAUGCACAAACAUAUGUAACAUAGAUAUUGCAUGAAUUUAGAAAAUUGGGUUAUGCUUUGGGGCUUGCCUUCCUGGACUAGGUUAGUAACCAGGUUGUUGGAACCUUUGGGAAUCUCCUGCUCGGCCUCGACAUGAUGCAGCUCGACAGGUACUUCCUCGGUUGGUUAGGAGCAGUUCGUAUGUUCUGUCUACGACAUUCGCUUCUACACGAGAUGCAUAUGCAUUAGUUCAAGUUUCCAUGCUUUCACAUGCAGGAUGCAAAACAUGAAUUAUUGCUGAAGUUUAAAUUUACAUUUUAACCACACUCAUCUAAACAAGGUUCUAAACUUUCAUUAUCUUCAUGCAGUAAGGUGUGCUGUGAUAUAAAAUCCGGGGUUGAUUUUGAUUGUGAUUGUGUACACAUAUAAGGUUUUACAACUUAGACUUCACAAAGAAAGGUGGGGGUCACUCUAGGGUUUCUUAAGGUUCAAUUGGAAAGUUAUCAUGUUCCUGAAUGUUUUUCUGUACCUUAGUGCAUUUACCAUUUUGCCCUUCUCAUUAACUAAUUGUUUUUAUUCCUUUUUCUUGGUUUAACUUCCAUAAAUGUUUCUGGUAACUUCUGACAAGAUAUAGUUCUGAAAAUUUUACAGAGGCUUCCUAAUCACAUUAGUGAGCCACUGUAAAGUUUUGGGAUGCAUUGAACUUCUACAAAAUUAAUUAAAAACAAAACAAUACCCUAUGGCAGAUUAUAGGGAUCUAUUUUUAACUGAAGUUCUAGUAGCAGUUUGGCUCUGAUAUUUUUUACAGGAGGUUACACUAGUGUGCCAAAGGCUUCUAUGAUUUUUCCAUGAUUUUUGGUGAAGGACAUCUAUUUUUCAUAUUUUUCCUUCAUUUAAACUUGUACAAAAAUUUAAGUAUGUUUCAUCAAGUUUCAUACAGUGAAUAAUAUUUUUCCUAGCAAGUAUGUUUCAUAAGUGAUCUAACCCAGGUGGUUUCAUAUUUUUUUCUGACAGAUUCCAUUACUUAUACAAAAAGAAAGAUUUUUCACUAGAUUUCAAGGAUAAAUCUAAAACAGUGACAUAAACAUCUAUACUAGGGUCCAAAGUAUUUUUCUAAGCACAAGUUGGCUGAAACAAAGCUAACAAAAGUGGUUUUGGUAUUUUACCUUUUUUUGUAAUUUAUUAUGCAUUUAAUGGCUUAAACAUGAAAUAAAAACUAGAGCAAUAUACAACAGUGACAUGAGCAAAAGUAUUUUUCUGUCAAACUACUCCUCUUAAAGAUUCUAACAAAAGUGGUUUGACAUUUUUCUGAUGUUUCUACAAUUAGUUAUGUAUUUUAAAAGUUCAGCUCAUUUCAUCCAUAUUUUAAACAGAAAAGGCGCUGGCAGUUUUACUCGGCCCCCCUACAGGUUUUAAACAUUCAUGAACACGUCCCUGAAUCUUACGCGCAGGCUCCUGGAAAACCUCAAAUCGGUGAAAAAGGGUCCUCGCGGCGGCCUGGGUUACUACGGUAAAAUCCCGACGAACUACUGCACAAUAGGAGAAACCAAGGGCUCGUGUGCGUGGGUGUGCUCACCUUGAGCGGGUCCGCUGAAGGAAGGGGUGUCGGAGAGGGCUUGACGGUGGCGGACUAUGACGGACUUGCGGGCGGCGGCGAGAUUUUUCUUUUCCGACACUGGCAGCGGUUUUGGCGGUCGAGGAGUGGCUCGGGAAGCUUGGCCGGGGCACGUGUGGCUCACUAGUGGGCUUGGGAGGCGGCGGUGCUGCUUGGGAGGGAGUGCUCCACGGUGGACUGCUCUGCUUAGCGGCGGCGAAGGGGGAGGAUGGCGGAGCGGUCGCCGGUGAGGCAAUAAGUGCCUUUAUAGGCCCGGGGCGUGAGGGGGGAGCAUGAGGUGAAGCUGUGGGGCGAAGGAAUAUCGUCGGGCAGCGAGUGGGGAGCAUCAGCGGGGCAUGACAUUGGCUAGCGGCGUGGGUUGGCUGGAGGCAGCGUGCGGGCGCGGAAGAAGAUUGCUAGUGCAUUGGCAGAGAAAAAUUUGAUUCCUUCUGUCCCGUGCGCUCGUUGGCCAGUAGAGGGAGUCAUUUCGUCCCAUCAGUGCGGCGAGAGGCAGAGGGGGCUCGGCCAUUGGCCGGCGGCGACGCGUCACACGUGGUGUGCGCGGAUGCCGAGAAGCGGCGCACCCAUUGGCGAGCGGAGAUGGCGUGCAGAGGGGCGAGAUGGCUUCAUGCGCUUACUGGCGAGCUCGGUGUGUUGUCUCAUCAUGUCGCGAUGGUGGUUGGGUGCGGAGCUAUGCCGGUGUGGCAGCGCCACGUGGCGAACGAUGACGGGAGCAACGCGGUGAGCGCGCACCGGGCGUCGAAGUGGAACGCAACGUCGCGCGAAGGGGCUGAGUUCGAGCGAGUUUUUCUCAAAAAUUUUUAAAUAAAGUUGAAAAUAUCCAAAACUAAAAAUGGUAGUCCUGACUUCAAACUUAAAAUCCUGGAAAACCCAUAUCUGCCAAAUCGUGCCCAAACGGAAGUUACACGAGUUCAAAAUACCCUGGAACGCAGAUCUUACAGACUUAGCAUAAAUUUGAAUUAAGGCUGUUUUGAACAUUUUAGCUGACUUUGCCUCAGGUUCUGAAAUGGUUCGGCUUGGACUUUGGCCAAGGUCAAAUGGUUGAAGUUGUAGUAAAUACUUAGGACUCAAACUUUUAUAAAGGAUUUAGCUCGAGUUCAGUUUAAAAUGUGUGAGAAAACUCCAUGCCAAGUUGAAGACUUUCACUGGUUUAGACUUGGAGCUUUCUGUGCUGUUUUUGAAAUUGUUGCUGACUUUAGCCUAGAGUUGGAGAAGUUUCCAGGGUGAUUUAGUCCCGGCUCAUAUUUCCAAACUUGUUUUUGAAUGUUUACUCUAAAACUUUUGUAAAAGCUCCAACUCAAGACCAGGUCUAGAAUUGGAAAUAACAGAAGUUAAAAUACUCUACUCAGCUAUAUUUUCAGGACUUGGUGUUUUUGAGUUUGAGUUGAUUUGCCUCUGAAUUUAAAUCUAGCUUUUUAACCUCUUCCUCUUCAAACUAGCAAAAUCUCAAAUAAGCAAAGUUGUUUGUUUUGAAAAGUUUUACCACUCUUAUAUUGGUAAAAAUUGAAGUUGUGAUAUAAAGUUUUAAAAAAAUUAUGAAUCGCCUCCAAAUUACGCUUUUAAAGGGUAUUUUGGUCCUUUUUAGUGCUAGAUGAACUUCUAAACUUUCUACUUAAGCUUAGACAAGGUUAAUUUAAGAUUAGGGUUGUUACAAGGUAUUGAUCCUAUUUUAGCACUGCUAAUAAAUUAUAAAAAGGUAAAAGUUGCUUUUCUACUAUCUUCCUGCAGCAGCCACUUGGUGGAAAAAGCUUGAGCCCAAAAAAAUCUCACUAUUUGAUUGACUAACUUCCUUGACCUUAUUGUCACAUGCAUCUCUAUUGCCGCUGCUUGCCGCACUUCAUUUUGCUGUUGGACAUUGUUCACUGUUGAUGUUUGCCAAUAGACACUGCUCAAAGUUGGCCUUUGCUGCUGGACACCGUUCAGUUGUAGAUAAUAUUUGCUCUUAGACACUGUAGCUAUUAUAAUAAUAAUUUUCUAGAUUAGAAGGAGAGAUAAAUCCUAAAUGAUCAAACUAUCCCUGCCCCACCCGAGCGGAAUAAACAUUGCCGCACCCCCACCCGAUCCACUGCGACGACGAAGGAUGAAACCGCUUGACGCCCCCGCUCACCCUGGGCCACCCUCACCCAUGCGCUGGCCCCAGCUCGCCCGCCAUUCUACCUCAGAGCUGGGGGCGGAUCCAACAUAGGUGGGGCGGGGGGGGGGGGUUCGCUUGUGGGCUGGAGCUCCUGCUCUGGCAACCUGCUCGAGUACCUUUCGCUUCCCCUGCCUCCCGCCUCCUGUACGGAUCCUGCUCUAUGGCUUCCCCUGCCUCCCGUCUCUUGUACGGAUCCUGCUCUAUGCUCUAGCAGUAGGCAGCUCCUUCUCUGAUGCCACCACCAACAGCACAAACAAGCUUGCCGUUCCAGCUGUAGGCAUCAGCGAACAUCGUGUCGCCACGGCCACCGUCGUCCCUUGCGCCCGACAAUGAUGAAUCACGAAUCAAUCUGGAUGGCUAGUGUUUGUGUGGAUUACUUAAUUUGGAUGGCUUUUUAGACCACCGUGUGGCCAAAGAUUGAUUUAUUUUCCGUGAGGAUUUAUUUAAUUUAUUCUCCGAUCCAACGACAAAGUGAGCUCCAGCUGUUUCAUUGCAAGCUGUCGUCACUCAUCAGGGUUGGGCUAGGGACAUAAUGGUCAUUUCAAUUUUAUCUCUCACCUCUACACUAGGAAAUUAUUAUUUUAAUAGACAUGGUGUUUAUGAGGAAAUAGCCACCAUUCAAGAGUGUCUACUAGCAAAUACAAAUUUUAGUAGUGUACUUCAACCAAAACCAACAUCAAAUGGUCUCCUCUAGCAAAAUUUGAGUAGUGUCCUUUAGCAAAAACCAACAUUGAAUGGUGUCCUUGACCCGAUUGUCACAUCUCUGUCGCCGCUGCUUGCCGCACUUUUUUUUAUUGUUAUAGGCAGUCGGGCAUCAAUUCUUACGGCACAUUAUUGAUUUGGGGCUGCGUCUCAUUGAUCCAUACGGUAGGGCAUUGAUUGGGGGCAGCCGAACAUUAAUCCGUGCUAUGCAUCAUCAUCUUCAUGCUACAAAACCUUGAUCCGUGCGAUCUAGCAUUGAUUUGAGGCAGCAGCUCCUUAGUUAAGGGGGUAGGAGGGCUUGGGGUGGAGGGCGGUGGUUGGCGGGGACAUCUGAAAGAUUGAAACGGAAUGAUCUUUGGACGGAGAGAACACGUGGAGGUGGAUAAGCGUGUUAUGGGCUGAUGGGUGGGGGGUGGGGGGGGGGGGGAGGGUGGGGGGAGGGCUCCAGCCCAAUGAUGGAUCCACCCCUAAGUAUAGAGUCAGAGUUAUGUCCAAGAUAAGAGGAGAAUCCACUUCCUGGAUAAUAAAAUUUAAAAUUAUUUUGUGACUUUCUAGUACAAUACUGUAGAAGAAUAGAGCAAAAGAAUCGCACAUAUCUUUUCACAUCCCGAUAUGAUAAGACUAUAGGAAGACCUAUCAUAUGUUGGAAGAUGACGAGAAACCCAUCUUCCUGCAAGAGCACUAGGAAAUCAUUGGCCAUCAAUGCAAGAUAUAUAAUAAAGUGAUCCCACCAAACUUGAAAGUCAGUGACAGGGGCACAUGGGAGUAAAUGACUCUAUUUAUGACAGCUAAAGAGUAGAGGUAGGGCCUGUUUGGUUAUGGAUGCUUAUUUAUAAGUUGCUUAUUUGCUUAUUGUAGUUGCUUAUUUAUAAGUCUUAGGUGUUUGGUUUGGGUUGCUUAUUUGCAAUAAAUGAGACUGCUAUUGACACAUUUACCCCUGCCAUCCCCAUUUCCCACUACCCCUAGUCAAUACCCGGGUCCUGGAGCGGCGGGUCCUUGGCGCGGAGGAGGGGGGCGGAGGCGGCGGCGGGCGGCGGGCCGGGAGCGGUGGGGCGCGGAGGCGGGCGGCGGGGCGCGGCGGGGGAGCGCGGAGGCGGGGGGCGGAGGCGGCGGCGCGGAGGCGGGCCGGGAGCAGCGGGGGACGGACCCCGAACCCAACCCAGGCAUGGCCGACGACCACCACCCCCUCGCCGCCGCGGCCUCCUCCUCCGCCAGCGACGACGACGAGGGUACGGAGACGCGUCCAACUCCGACCUCGCCAACCACCGGGACCCUCCGUCCCUCACCGACGCGACCUCGGCCCCGCCUACCCCUCCCGCCGCCGCCGCCUCCGCCCCCGAGCCCACCGGCGCGAUUCCGCCGCCGCCGCCGCCUCAGCCGCAGAGCGCGGGUGCCGCAGAGGACUCACGGCGGCUGUUCCAGCGGCUGUGGACGGACGAGGAGGAGCUCCUCAUCCUGCGCGGCUUCCUGGACUUCACGGCGCGCCUCAAGAAGAAGUACCGCGUCUGCGCGGCGCGUGUGGCGGCGCAGGGCGCCGCGUUCGCGUUCCGGAGCGCGCACGAGGGCGCCAUCUACGAUGUCGCGCGCCACAUCUGGCGCCCCGCGUUCAAGCGCGGAGGCAGGCGGGCGGCGGGCGCGAGCGGCGGCGGCGGGCGGGAGGGGCGGCGGCGGGCGGCGGGCGGGAGGGGCGGCGGCGGGCGGCGGGCGGGAGCGGCGGCGGGCGCGAGCGGUGGCGGCGGGCGGCGGCGGGGAGGGACCGGCGGGCGGGGUGGGAGCGCCGGGCCGGGGGAGAGAAGGAGAGAGAGAAGGGGAUCUGGGGAAAGGAGAAAAGUGGGAGGAGAGAGAGAAAAGUGGGAAGGGUAGGGGGGUAAAGAGUACCCCAUAAGCAAAAUAAGCAGCUCCAAACUUGCUUAUUUGCUUAUGCAUAAGCAACUUAUAAGCAACUCUAUAAGCAAGGGUGUUUGGGUUAUAAGCAACUUAUUUGCUUAUUUAUAAGUUGCUUAUUUAUAAGCAAUGCUAACCAAACAGGCCCGUAGUAUGUUGGUGUUGUGCCUGAUUAUUGUUUCUUUUGCGAUGAUUUUCAUUAUUUCAGAGUCCUGGCUCUGCUCCUGGUUGAGCAUCCAAAAAGGGCCAGAAGAUGCUCAUAAGAAGAGGAGCGAGACAAGAUAGAGCGAGAGAACCAAACUUGAGGACCAAAUUUGGCUGACGCACAAACCCUCAUGAAACUUGGUAAAGGCCGUCCGCUGUGGAUACCAGAGACCGUUAUUAGGGCGCAACUAGUCUAUAUCCUCAUUUCUCCAGCGACUUUAGCUUUAUGUUUUCUUUGUUAACCUUUGUAGAAAGUUGUGACAGCGAGACUAUCUAGUGACGGCCAUAUGGAUGACCUUUGGUUGCAGUUUUACGUGGCGUUUGGUUCCUCGAGCUAAAGUUUAAUCCAUGUCACAACGAAUAUUCGGAGGCUAAUUAGAAGGAGUAAAUAUGAGUUAAUUAUAAAACAAAUUGCACAGAUGGAGGCUAAACGGCGAGACGAAUCUAUUAAGCCUAGUUAAUCCAUCAUUUGCAAAUGUUUACUAUAGCAGCACAUUGUCAAAUCAUGGACUAAUUAGGCUUAAUAGAUUUGUCUUGCCGUUUAGCCUUCAUCUGUGUAAUGGGUUUUGUAAAUAGUUUAUAUUUAAUACUUCUAAUUAGUAUCUAACCAUUCAAUGUGACAGAUGCUAAAAAUAAGCAGCUUGAACCAAAUACCCCCUUAGUAUGGAACGAACAUACCACUGUGUACCAUAAAGAUGACGUCUCCUGUAAUAACAGUGCUAAAAUUCCCUACGGUGCUAAGGAUCCAUGUACGAGGUAUGGCCUCUUACUUUCAUAUAUAUCCAAUAUCCUCUAACUAAAUUCUCUCACUGCGGGAAACAGUAAGUUUGCCGAGUGCCUCAGGCACUCGGCGAAAGCCUAAAAAUACUCGGCAAAGUGUUUGCUGAAUGUAACACUGUUACAUUCGGCGAAAAGGACUCGGCGAAUUUUUCCUCGGCAAUUGUCGGGCACUUGGCAAAGACUUUGCCGAGUUUCAAAAACCACUCGGCAAAACAAAACACUCAGCAAAAAGGUGUUGACGGAAUAUCACAGUAACGGAGUUGUUGCCGAGUGUCAGACGGAAGAACACUGGGCAAAGAUUUAUAUGUUGCCGAGUGCCUCCUCCCUGACACUCAGCGAAGAUUUCCAUGUUGCCGAGUGCCGUCUACUCGAUACUCGGUGAAGAUUUAUAUUUUGCCGAGUGCCAUACUCAUGACACCUGGUGAACUUUUAUACUUUGGCGAGUGUCGUGGGCAUGGCACUCGGCAAAGAAGCCAGUACCGCCAGCAUUUUAUGGCACCUUUGCCGAGUGUUGUAACGAAAACACUCGGCAAAGUAGUCCCAGAAUAACAGAAAUUAGCCUCUUUGCCGAGUGUUAAGUGUCCUUCCUCCACCUGCAAAACAGAUUUGUUACAUAUAAAGGACCCCUCUCAAAUAACAACCACAGAAGCAUCACAGGCAUAUAAAUUGCAUCACGGGCAUAUAGAUUGCAUCACAAGCAUCACAAGCAUACAAAUAACAUUCACAAGUACAUAUAGGUUCUAGUCUAAAUAAGUAAUUCACAAGUUUGCUUAACACCUAGCUGUUCAAACAAGUCACUGAGAAGGAUGUGUAGGUGGCCACUGCGACCAAGAUGAUGGCUCCGAGAAAGCAUUGGAUGUCGCCGAUUGAUUCUGCACAAAGUUAAAGAGAUUGCAUUAGUCACUUUUCUAUUGUAAGUUUAUAGUGCCUGUACUUUCUAGUUUAAUUAUAGAUUGAUUGUAAGGUUGAGAAGUGACUCACAGGAGUAGCUUCAGGAGGUGAAGGUGGAGAGAAUAGGUUCGAUGGCAUAGGUGGUGGAGUUUGACCUAAACUCUGAAAAAUACUCUACAUGUACUGGAACAUCGACUCCGUCCUCUGCCUUUCUAUUCGCCGAUCCACCUCGAUCCUCGCCUCUAGGUCCUCCCAUCGCUUCCAUUCUACUUCCACCUGGACCUACAAUAUUUCAUCCCAAUAUCUUAUUGCAAAGCAAAAGGUACGUAAAAAUCAACAAAAGAUGAAACAAACAGAAAUAACCUGCAAAGCCUCCAUUUGUAACUGUGUAGUGGUCAGCUGUGCCUAUAUCGCGGGGCUCGAGUCUGUGCUCCUUGCUCGGAUCUGGGAGAGACUAGGAGUACUGGCAGUGUAUAUCACGCUAUCGCCAAUCCAAUACCGGCCAUGCUUCUUGCCUCCUCCCACCCUCAUCACAAUUUCUGCAUCAGUAUCCUGGGAGCUCGGAUCAAACUCUUGCCCAUGAACCUCCCUUGCCAUUGCCGUGUACUCGGUGAUGCGGUUGUGGAUGCUUGGAUGGCUGUACGCCUUAGGCGGGUCCUCCAGGUUGAAGUCGAUGUCGGCCGUCGCUUUGCUCUUUUUGGACAUCACCUAUGCCUUGAACCGGGAGCACUCCUAGCCAUCAUGUGACGACGUCUGCGGCAAAAAUGCAAAAUGAUUAGAAAUUAUGCAGAAUUGAGUAUUAGAAUAAAGAAAUGAAUUCACGUACCCAUUUUUCCUUGUAUUCAUCAAGGCUCAUACUGCCUUGAUGGUGUGAUGCAUAUGGCAUCUACAGACACCGCUCCCGGCAAGCAAGGUGGUUCUCCAACCACCCGGGCUGCAACCACACAUCCACCAUUUGUUCCCAGCACCGGGUAUGGGCUCAGCACCACCAUGGAGGCAACUACAUCAUCAAGUGAUUGACAUAUAACAAAAUAAAUUAAGUGUAAUUAAUCUCAGAAAAAGUAAGUAUUAAUGUUUCGUAUUUACCGCCAUGAAUUCUUCCUUGGUCAGGUUCAUUGUCCUUGCCUCUUCUUUUUUGACCUUCAUCCUUCUGAAUUCAGCAUAGAAGUCGAUGAUGGCCUGAACCCGCGCCUCGUAGUGCAUGUCCUUGAUGAGCUUCUUGGUGGCUUGUUCAGUGACAGAGGCUGCCCUGGCCUCAAAUCCCUCCCGGCAUCUAUAGAAGUCCUGUGUAUAGACAUGAUGCAUAUAGUUAUUAUUUCAAGAAUGUUCAGCGAAGGUGAUGUAUUAAGCAAUGUAGUGCUGGGAAUACUUACCCACAGCUCGGCCUUCACCCGCUCCGCCUUAUUGGCGAAUGUCCUAUGGUCACGAUCACCGACGUCGGCGAUGAUGACGUAGUGGUCCCACGUGUAGGCCGGCUCCUCCCUUACAGCGAAGACCACCAAGCCAAGGACUAGCCUGCACAAAAGACCAAGGAUGCCGUUGACCUUGAGGUUGUGGCUACGUUCACUGAGCUUAAUCCAACUCCUGCACAAGUGAUUAAUAUAAAGUAUUAAUUUCUAUUGUAAUUUUCAACAUAUCAAAUUAUUGAGAAUAUGUAAAGUAACUUACUUUGCCUCAGUGGGUUGAAUCGGUGGGCAUCUAUGAAGAGGUAUCGGUCGCCUCAGGAGGGAAGAGGGACCUCGCAACCAGAUCUUGGACUGCAAAUCCCCUGCCUCCUCACCUUCCUCCCUCUCCCUCUCCUGCUCCUGCACCUGCUCCUCUUGUACCUCCGCCUUGUCACUAGAGGUGUGCGCGGAAGGUAUCUCCUCCUCCUUAGACAACCGGGCCGAAGGUACAGGCGACGGGGGCCUCACCCCUUUCCCCUUGCUGGACCUAUGCCUCCUCCGUUUCCUCGACCAGUGCCUCACCCCUGCCUCCACCCCUGCCUCGACGCCUCCCUCGACCCCUCGAUGCAUCUGACCUUGUACCUGACCCUGAAGCUGCAGCUUUGAAUUUUUCGUAAAGCGCUGCGAUCUUCCUCGUACCGCCCACCAUUGUUCAAUCACUUGCAAUGAAAAAGAGUAAACCAAUCAGCAUAGAUAAACAAAACAUACUUAGGAAUACAUGCAAAAUAAACUAAACAUACUUAAAAAAUAACAUGGCAUGACAAAUAAUAAAUAAAUUAGUACGACCCAUACAUGUAUUAGAAAUAAUCAUCAUGAUCAGGAUUAGCUGGAUCAUAAGUCUCAUCAUCACUAUCACGUGUGUUAAUAAAAUCAUUCCCGUGCUCCGAAGGAGGAAUGUCAUCAUCAAUGUCCUGUCCUAACUGUAAUCGCUGAAGUAAUUCUAACUCCUUCAUAUUAUGAACCUCAUCUCCAGCGUCCUCGUCAGCAAGCCUUUCAUUGUCUACUUCCAUUCCGAUCACUACGGUUAAGUCAAUCUCAAAAAUCUCUUCGAGCCCAUCUUCUUGAAAGAACUCUCCGUUAUAUGUGUUGGGGUCAAUGUUGUAAUCUUCAUUGUUUGGUAUAGGUAGUUUAUCAUGUGGCGAUACCUUGUACACAACAUCCCAACCCUUAAGAUGGUCGUCGGUUUGGCACGGGUAUGACAAAUAAUAAAAUUGCAUGGUCUGUUGAGCCACAAUAUAGACAUCAUCUCCUGGUAAGACAGAUGAUUGCUGAAUUUCGACUAGCCCUAGAUUAGGGGCUUGUUUCAUGACUGAUGGAUCAAACCAAUAGCAUUUGAAUAUGACUGGAUUAAGAACUUUGCAACCAUGAAAAGUUAGUUUGCAUAUUUCUUCAAUUCUUCCGUAGUACUCGACCCCGUCAAAGCCUGGGGUAAAAACUCCGGUAAUUGUGGUUCUUCGAUUGGGCCUACUCUGCUCAUGGCUUGUUGUGUGAAAGCGAUAUCCAUUGAUGUCAUAACUGGUAAACGAUCUGACCCUAUAGGCACAGCCAUCGGCAACCUGUCUCAACUCGACAUUCAUAGACGCGUCGGUUUGGCCCUGCAAGUUCAAGCAGGGUGGUUCGUUAUAUUAUUCGCAUGUACGAGCAACUUGUAAUAUCAAACUAAGUAAGAGCUAAGUACGAGCUAAAUUGGACUGUACCUUAUGUUUGAACCAAGAAAUGAAAUCAAGCAUUCCAUUUCCCGCACCCUCUCUAAGAAGAGUCUCCACUUUGUGCGAGUAGGUUCCCUUGAAUUACGCCAGAAGUGACGAUGGAAUUCCCAGUACCAACGAGAAACAUGCGAGUUGGACGCAGAAUAGUGACUACUUGAGAACAAGUUUGUUGAGAACUUACAGUAUGUACGGCUCCACCUCGGAUAGGUUGGUCAACAUAUACAGCAUGAUAGUGCGCCACUCUUCAUGUUUCAAGGUCUUCUGUGUAGCACCACUUGCACUUCUGAGUUGUCCUCGAAAAAUGCUAAGGCUUGAUUCAGCUUCGCUGUCAUUAUAACGAGGGGGUGGAUUUUGCACACUAGGAAGGUUGUCAGCAUAGUAUUUUGUUGUGAAGUUUGACACCUCCUUCAGGAUGUAUGCCUCUGCAAUGGAUGCUUCAAUUUUGCAUUUAUUUUUACAUUUAGUUCGAAGAACCUUUUGACAUCUCUCAAUUGAAUAGCACCAACGGCCCUGCACAGGCCCCCCCCCAUUCGUGCUUCAUACGGGAGGUGCAGAAUCAUAUGCUGCAUCGAAUUGAAGAAGCCGGGUGGAAGAUCUUCUCCAACUUACAAAGCAAGACAGGCGCCAUUCUUUCCAUUUCUGCAACCACGGUAUAAGACAACUCCUUGGCACAAAGCUGAUGGAAGAAAUUGCUCAACUCCACUAGCACCUGCCAGACAUGCUCAGGGACAUAGCCUCGAACCAUAACCGAAAGUAGGCGCUCAAGCCAUAUGUGGUAAUCAUGACUUUUGAGCCGUUGAUUUGCAUAGUAGCUAAGUUCACUCCCCUCUUCAGAUUCGCUACAUACCCAUCAGGGAACAUUAACGUUUGGAACCAUUCUAGCACCUCCCUCCUUUGGGCCCUCGUUAGGACAAAAUCUGCCUUAGGCUUUCUUCACGACUUUUCGGCUCUAGGAGGCGCCAUGUCUAGCUUUGUUCUGUUGCAUAACCUUGCUUGAUCCACUCUAGCCUUCAUGUUAUCCUUUUCUUUGUCAGGAAUGUCCAUGAUUGUACCAAAAAUUGCCUCGGCGAUAUUCUUUUCAGUGUGCAUUACAUCAAUGUUAUGUGGGAGAAGAAGGUCAUCAAAAUAUGGAGGUUCCACAAGCACGACUUCUGAGUCCAAGCAUGUUGCUCGCCAUAUCUUUUAAAACCACCUUCUUGAUUAUUGACCUCAACAGCGUCUAACUGAGCACGAACUGUGGCUAAGGUCAUCAUCUGCAGUGCGGGGUCGUUAACUAUGACAUCUUUCAUAAAGUUUUUAAUGUCUCGUCUGAAUGGAUGGUCAGGAGGGAGGAAUUGUCGAUGUUUGUCGAAUGAAGAAUACUUGCCACCCUUCGUCAACCAAAUGAACUUCAAAAAAGCCUUGCAUACUGAGCAUGGGAACUUCCUGUGAACACACCAGCCGCAGAAAAUACCAUAUGCCGGCAAGUUAUGUAGGGAGUACUUGUACCAAACAUGCAUCUUGAAGUUUGUCCUUGUAGCUCGGUCGUAUGUCCAUACCCCUUUCUCCCAAGCACGGACCAAAUCAUCAAUUAGAGGCUCCAUGUACACACUCAUAUUAUUCCCUGAGUGUUCUGGAAUUUUUUCAACGACAAAAAUAUGUUCUGUCGUUGAAAGAGGACACCAGGAGGGAGAUUGAGGGGGAUAACAAACAUGGGCCAACAGGUGUAUAGGGCAGCCGCCAUUCCAUUAGGAUUGAACCCAUUUGUUGCCAGCGGAACACGUACAUUACAGGCAUCUAGAGCUUUCUCACGAUAAAUCGCAUCAAACCUUGUCCAGGCUUCACCAUCGGAUGGGUGUACCAGCUUCUCAGCUUUGUAUCGACGUCCAUUUUUGUGCCAUGUCAUCUAUUUCGCGGAUUCUUCAGUCAUGUAAAGCUGUUGGAUCCUUGGUAUAAAGGGAAGGUACCGUAGGAUCUUCACGGGGAUUGCAAGCUUCUUCUUCUGACCAUCACUAGAGUCUACCUCUAGGAACCUAGACGAUUUGCACUUCACACAGUAUUUUGCUUCCGCAUACUCUUUCCUAAACAAGAUGCAUCCCUUCGGGCAAUCAUGUAUCUACUCAUAUGGCAUCUUAAGUGCACGAAGGAGUUUCUGUGCGUCAUACAUGGUCUUUGGCAAGAUGUGACCCUCCGGGAGCAGGCUCCCAAAAACUGUCAACAUAAUAUCGAAGGCGUCUCGACUCAAGCUAAACUGGGACUUCACGGCCAUUAGAUGUGCAAUGGCAUCCAAUUGAGAAACCUUGGUAUGCCCGUGAAGGGUUGCUGUGCCGCAGACAACAUAUCAUAAUACGCCUUUGCGGUAGCCUCUGGCUCCUCCUCCCUACGUGCUUCAUGGUAGUCAUCUAACAUGUCUCCCACCCCGGCAUCAUCAUCGUAUUCCUCGAUGUGUUGUCUGACGACCUUGUCUGUCCCACGAUCGGAUUCACCGUGGUAGAUCCACCUAGUAUAGUCUGACAUAAAUCCAUGCUUAGCAAGAUGUUUACCCAUGUCCAGCUUGGUUUGCCGACGCAUGUUUCCACAUUUGCUACACGGACACCAAGUGGAUCUUGCUCCUUUGAUCCUUGCAAACGCCCGUUCCAAGAAAGCAUCGGUCUUGUUAAUCCAUUUAUUAGUCAACGAAUUCUGACUAGAGCGGCCCGUGUACAUCCACUGAUGAUCCUCCAUCCUCUAGCAUAUCACCGAAUAAUAUAAAAAAUCGUGUUGCAUUACACGUUCCUAUAUUAUCUAUUAGGUGAAGAUAGGUCCUAAUCCCACCUGAGGAUGUGUAGGUGGAUUUAGUUUCCAUGGUCUACUCCGACUCGGGAUAGAAUUUCGGGAGCACCUCCUCGGUGUCCACCAAAUACACGUCCUGGAAGGGAGAUUCUGUAUCUGGAGAACAACAGGGAGGUGCUGCCGAAACUCUAUCUCGGAUCGGAGUAGAACAUGGAAACUAAACCCACCUACACAUCCUCGGGCUGUCCAAAAAACAUGGACAAUUCGAAACAAAUACGGUUAUAGAUAUGCAAACAUCUGCAUAUUCCCAACCGUAUCUCUUUUAAACGGGAUACGCCUAACUAGGUUACAUGAUAUACGAACAUCAUACGGAAAGAGAGGUGUAGGAUGCCUCACCUUGCUAUCCUGCAAAGUAACGACUCGAGGAUGGUAACGUAGCCUCUUCUGCAAAAAAAGAACAUACUACUGUCAAGUUAAAAUUUCAACAGCACCUCCCCUGCACGGGGAGGUUUCCAUAACCUGCAUCAAAUAAAACAGCACGAUGGCUGACAACCACAUCUACAACAACGGAACGGCACGAUGGUCGACAUCCACAUACAGUUCUUAUACCUUAGAUUGCCAAGUCAAACAUUCUUUUCUAAUUUCUGAAACAAAAGUCCUACCACCUCUCGAUCUUCUGUAAAAAAAUCCUUUCCUAUCCUUUUCUAAUUUCUAAUUCCUUUUCUAAUUUCUAACUCAUCCUACCACCUCUCUACCCUUUUCUAAUUUGUAAUUUCAAUUUUUCAACUUGAAGAACAAAGAUUGAAGAGUUACUGGAAGAGAGGUGAGGAGCACCGGCCAAGAGGGGCGAGGAGACGUCCGCCGGCGGCAGCCGCGCCAGUGGCAGGGUGCCGGCUCCGGGGGCGGAGGCAGCAGGCUGGGCGGGGCGCCGUCACCGGGAGCGGCAGGCCGGGCACCGGGGACGGGGCGCCGGCACUAGGGGCCGCGGUGGCGGCGGGUCAAGCGGGACGGCAGGUGGGGUGGGCCGCCGGAGGAAGAGGGCCCCAAGAGACGGGCGGGGGGGCUGGCGGGCGGGCUGCUGGGCAGGCGGGGGCGGCUGCCGGCGGCGGCGGAGUGCGGCGGCGGGGCGCGUGAAAUCGGGCGGCGGCGGGGCCGUAAAGCGGCUAAGUGUUUGGCUUGCUCACUAUCAGAGUGGGAAGGUCGGGGGGCUUAAGUCAGGAGGUUUGCCGAGUGCCCUCAAUCUGGCACUCGGCAAAUUGUGACUUUGCCAAGUGCCCACGAUCUAGCACUCGGCAAAGUGUGCUUUUGCCGAGUGCCAGAUCGCGGGCACUCGGCAAAGUACAGUUUUAAUUUUUUUAAAAAAGUUUCAAUCGGUACACGAGCCUGUCAGCGGUCCCGUGUACAUACUUUGCUGAGUGUCUAUUGAAAACACUCGGCAAACUAUUGUCUUUGCCGAGUGUCUUCUUCAAAAACUCGGCAAAGUACACUUAUAUUUCAUGUUUAUUUCUUCAAUAACGUGUUGCUAACUUUUUUCCUAUAUACUUUGGAAAAACCUUGUCAAAUUCACUCAGCAAUGCAUAUUUGAUUUUUCUACUAAUAUUAUUCCAUUAUUUCAUGCAGCUACAGCUUCAAAUGAAUUUAUAUCUAUUAAAAAUCUAUAAUUGCAGUUAAUAAAUAAAAAUUAUCAUACCGAUCCGAAAAAUUCCCAAAAUUGGACAUGAACCAAUCUAUGUUGUAUGUUGCAUAUACAAAAAGUUUUGAAGUCAAACCCCAAUUCAAGUGUCACUUGGACUCCAAAUCUUAUCGGAUCCUUGCUAACUUCUACGAAUCUUCUUGGGAGAUGUGUCGGUUUGUAAGCAUCAUAUGUCCGAAAUUCUGCAAAACCUUCUCAAUUUUUACCACAGCCUCCACAUAUAAUAUCAUGACAUCUUAACAAAUCUUGUGAUGUUCACACUUCGUUUGCUUUUUUUAGAAUUAAAAACCAUUCAACCACACGUUUGUGGUCGUGUUUUUUAAAACAAAUGUUCAAAAUUUCUUUUCAUUUCCUGGUUGAGACCUCAAUCCGGAUUCAAUAACAUGAAUCUGAUUUUUUCACUGAUUUUAUUCCAUUAUUUCAAUCACUUGCAGUUAAAAUAUGACUUAAAUCAACAAAUUCCCAUUAAUGAUAUUAAUUCAUUAAAAAUAGCAAACAGACUAAAAAAUAGAUCAACUUUUAACAUGCAGUACAAAAUGUCGUAUAUGGGGAGUAGAAAAAGUGUGGAGAGCAUAGGUGAAAAAAAAAGUUUUGUCUUUGCCGAGUGCUAACAAAAACACUUGGCAAAACUCUAAGUUUGCCGAGCGGCUGCGGAAAACACUCGGCAAAACUCUAAGUUUGCCGAGUGUCUAGAGGAAGCACUCGGCAACCUCUAAGUUUGCCGAGUGUCGGUAACGGACACUCGGCAAAGUACUAACGGCUGGCACACUGUCCUAACGGACGGCACACGUGCGAUCCACGUGCUGGAGAGUUACCGAUUGUCAAAUCAUUGCCGAGUGUUGGUUGGAUUUUUGCCAAGUGUGUUCUCCGCGACACUCGGCAAAUCUGUUGUUUGCCGAGUUCAUUAUGUAUGCCGAGUGUCUGCAACUAUACACUCGGCAAAUAAGAUAUUUGCCGAGUGCCCGACAAAAAGCACUUGGCAAAGAUUUUACACUCGGUAACUUUCCUGUUUCCGGUAGUGUCUACUCCUUAUCGUAUUCUUGUAUAGCAUGUCGAAGUUAUAUGGGACGUUAUGAGGAUGCUGACGCGUAUGCGGGCUUUAGUGGGGACAGAUCGGAUUAAAUGAUGGGAACAGCAGGGAUGUAAUGUAAUGAGCCUCCGGUCUACUGGCAACAAAUUUUUCUGGAGUGGUAACAGAAAGACACGCAGUGUGGGAGUGAAACACACGAGAAUAUAUGCCUUUUUUCUCACUUGUGUUUUUUUCCUUUUUGACCUGCACCUUCAAAAAGAGGCCGGCAUGGGCGCACGGUGCCCUCUUUUCUCGGUGCCCGGCCUUCCUUUUCUUCUUUUUCCAAACGCACUUGCUACAAUGCUGAAGCACAUCUGUGUUGGCACGCACUAGGCUGAAGCACAUCUGGGUUGGCACGCACAAGACUGGCCUUUCCCCAAGAAGAUACUAAACCGUCGCUGAGGAAUGGGCAUGUAUGAACACAGCGUCGAUGCAGCAUGUCUGCACACACAGCUCACUGAAGACGACGAACGCUAAACCAAGGCACAAGGUCCGAACUCCGAAGGAACUAUGGAUAAUCAAGGUACGUAAGCAGAGGCUCAGUAUACUCUGUCUUGAAUUAUUUUCAUAUUCAGUUAAAGCCCUUCUUGGGUACCUGUCCGGCAUACUGAUUGCUUAGUUUUUUUUUCCGAUCAAAAUCUACGAACGUAAGUCCUUUCCUAGAGGAAGAUUGUACUCAUCUUCCACUCCAAAAAAAAAAAUAUUGGACUCAUCUUAUAUGGAACCUGUGGUUCCAAGAUGAGAUAGAGUUGUAGCUCAGCGAUCUCCACACUAGAUUUAAAGUCGCUCUAACCUCCUCUUCUUCAACUUCAUGGGAGCUGCUCUAAUAACCUCCUCUUCUUCCGCUUCAUUGGAGCUUGCCAGUAGUUGAUGUGGGCACCCCUACAAAAUCCUUUUUGGAUAAAGUGGAUUGAAGUGGAAUGGGAGGGAUUGGAGGAGAAAUUAGUUCAUUUUAAACUCAAUUCCUCAUACAAUACUCUUUCUAUUAAAACAAGCCCCUAGAGGUUUACCUCAUGGUUGCUGACCUUCUCCUUCUUGAGCACCUCCAUUGCAACCUCCUCCACCUCUCCUCCUUCUCUGACUCUGAUAAGGAUCAACUAUAAUUGACCAGCCAGCGUGGAGGAGAAGGAAGAGCAACUAACUAAAGGCGCAAUGGCCUGGGUGUGGGUUGACGAAGUGCUUCCACGCCGAUUCGAGCUGUGCCGAAGGAUGGCCUACGGUGGGGAAGCAAAUGGGUUGCAGCAGAGCGGAAAGGGUGCAGAUGCGAGCUCUUGCUGUUUUAUGCACAGUGACAAAUUAUAGAGUGAUCUGGUCAGAACACCGUGUUAAGGAAACAAGCGUGCAAUGUACAUUGCUCACUCGAUUACGUUAUUAAAUCUAGCUCUAGGCAUAUUAAUUACUUUUUGAGUGUUAUCCUGCUCGAGCAAAAAAAUUUAUACUACCAAAACAGCCAGAACAUUACAUACAAUGGUCUAAUUAUUGCAAGAACUCAAAAUUACAUACGGUUAGUAAUAGAGUCCUAAAGUCCCUGCUAUCCAAUGUGAAGUUGUCUCUCUCAUUCAUGGAACUAAUUGAGGAAUAUAGAGAUUUAUCUCUUAUGGAGUGGAAUUUCAAGGUCCUGUUAUAGGACCAGUUGCAAACAUUACUAAAACAGCAAAAUAUCUAUUGGAAACAACGAGGAUCAAUCAAAUGGAUCAAGUUCGGUGAUGAGUCAACGAAAUUCUUUCAUGCAAAUGCUACCAUCAAGCAUGGUAAAAGUUAUAUUAGAUCACUAGCAGACUUGACAGGGACACCGAAAUAUACUCAUUUGGAAAAAGAAACAAUUCUCUGGGAUGCAUACAAGGAACGUUUGGGUACUUCUGAAUACAAUGCUAUGAUUUUUGAUCUACAGCUUCUUUUGCACCAAGGAGAUGAUCUGUCUUGCCUGGAGGAACCUUUUACUCAUGCCGAAAUAGACUCUGUUAUCAACCUUAUGCCAAAUGAUAAGGCGCCAGGUCCAGAUGGUUUUAAUACUAACUUCAUAAAGAAGUGCUGGUCGAUCAUCAAGCAGGACUUCUAUGAUCUUUGUGCUGCUUUCUACUCUGGCUCAGUGUCCCUACGGAGUAUAAAUGGCUCUCUGAUAACUUUGAUACCUAAAGUGGAAGGGGCAGCCCAUGUAUCGGAUUAUAGACCUAUAUCCCUUUUGAACACCUCUAUGAAGCUUCUGACAAAGUUAUUGGCUAAUAGAUUGCAAUCUGUGAUCACAUCUCUUGUGCAUAUGAACCAGUAUGGUUUCAUCAAGUCUAGAACGAUACAGGACUGUCUUGCGUGGGCAUUUGAAUAUCUUCACUUAUGCCAUAAAUCAAGAAAGGAGAUAGUCAUCCUCAAGCUUGAUUUUGAAAAAGCUUUUGACAAGAUUGAGCACCAAGCAAUGUUAGCAAUCAUGAAGCAUAAAGGUUUUGGAGACAGAUGGAUUCAUUGGAUGGAACAAAUCUUUGCCUCUGGUACUUCAUCAGUUCUUUUGAAUGGUGUCCCUGGGAAAAGGUUUGAAUGCAAAAGAGGAGUCCGGCAAGGAGACCCCCUUUCACCCCUUCUUUUUGUCCUAGGGGCUGACUUACUACAAUCUAUUGUAAAUUACUCCAAAGAUCAAGGCCACCUCAAAUUACCAAUACCUCUGACAUACAGCUCGGAUUUUCCUAUUUUGCAAUAUGCUGAUGAUACCCUAAUAAUCAUGGAGGGAUGUCCUAAUCAACUGUUACAUUUGAAGCAGCUUCUUCACAAUUUUGCUCUGUCCACUGGACUAAAGGUCAACUUCAGUAAAUCAAUGAUGGUGCCUAUUAAUAUCACAGAGGAAAGAUUGCAAUUUCUAUCACAGACUUUUGGAUGUGCUAUUGGCACUCUCCCAUUUACCUAUUUAGGACUUCCACUUGGCCUUACCAAGCCCAAAAUUGAGGAUUUCUUGCCUAUGGUCACCAGAUGUGAAAGGAGAUUGGUAUCCACAUCAACAUUUCUGUCAGACGCAGGGAGGCUUCAACUGACAAAUUCAAUUUUCACAGCCAUGCCUAUGUUUCAUAUGUGCACUUUGCAGCUGCCCAAGAUAGUAUAUAAACAAGUGGAUAAACAUAGAAAAUGUUGCCUCUGGAGAAAGUCCGAUGUAAAUAAUAGGCAACCUCCAAAGGCUGCCUGGGAUCUUGUUUGUCGCCCAAAGAAAGAGGGUGGCCUUGGGGUGUUAAAUCUUAGGACCCAGAAUGAAGCUCUUCUUCUUAAGUAUCUUCACAAGUUCCUGAAUAAAUCAAAUAUACCAUGGGUGCACCUAAUUUGGGAGAAGUAUUAUGCUUCUGGAAGGCUACCAGGACAAGUCCGAAAAUGAUCAUUUUGGUGGAAGGAUGUUUUGAAACUCUUGGACAAAUUCAAAGGUCUAGCAUCUGUAACUAUGCAUAGUGGUCAAACCUGUCUCCUAUGGCAUGAUUUGUGGAAUAAUAAGGUCCCAGCACAAGAAUAUCCCCACUUAUUCUCUUUCACUACAAAAGCUGAUAUAUCUGUUAGGAAAGCCUAUCAACUGCCUAACUUGCACCAACUUUUUAAUUUGCCUCUUUCAUCUCAAGCUCUGGAUCAGCUUCUUCAACUAGCAACAGAUCUGGAUGGAAUUCAAUUUAAUGAAGAUCAUGAUUGUUGGACAUAUAUUUGGGGCAAUUCUCACUUUUCUUCAUCAAAAGCAUAUCAUGUCCUGUCUGGCCAUCGUUAUGUGCAUCCGGUUUUUGGAUGGCUUUGGAAAUCUCGCUGUCAAAGUAAACAUAAGUUCUUCUUCUGGCUCCUUCUUAAUGACCGCCUAAGUACCCGAAAUGUGCUCCGAAGAAAACACAUGGUUCUGCCCUCCUAUUCUUGUAUCUUGUGCUCCCAGGAUAGUGAGGAAACCUUGUUCCACCUUUUACUGCAAUGCCCCUUUGCCCAAGAGUGCUGGAUCAAUAUCAGUCUUUUUGCUAACCUGGAGGAUGAGCCUUACACAAUUCUUGAAAGCUUCAAAGCUCAGUUACAUGUUCCUUUUUUUAUGGAAAUCAUUGUGCUCAUGAGUUGGUGCAUUUGGAUGGCAAGAAAUGAUUGGAUUUUCAGGAAUAUCACUCCCUCCAUCCAGGAUGCAAUGAGGAGGUUUCGGACUGUUUUUACUCAAGUUAUUCUACGAGUAAAAGAGGCUUGGAAGCAACCAAUGUUUGAAUGGCUAGAGCACUCAUUGUAAUUUUGCUGAUUUUCUUUCUUUCCUUCUUUGUUUCCUGAUUUGUAUUUGAACUGUUCUUGCUCUCUUUAAUAUAUAUAUAAUCAGCAGGGGAUAAUCACCCCCUCCUGUUUCAUCAAAAAAAAAAUAGAGUUGCCACAACUCACGGGGCCAUUAGUGGGUGCGCAUUCGUCGCUAGCGCUUAUCAGCGAACGAACGGGCCUUCUACUGUCUAUCUUCUUCCUUCGUUCUUUGUUCUUUCUUCCACAACCCUGCCGUACGAACUGCACCAGGCCACCUCCAACGCCGCCGGCCUCCACCACCACCGGGGGCCGGCCGGAGGCGCCCACGCCGUCAUGCCGCUCAGCCCGCCUCCCACCCCCGCCGCACCACCCUGCCCUUCCCUAACUGCUGCCGUCACGCGCCCCCGCUGCCGGCACCGCCCACCGGGUAGCGGCGCGCGCGCCAAAUAAGGAUUUUGCAGAACUCACACUUCAUGUUGUAUUUAAUUUGAAGGUGCUAAUUGGAUUCAUAACACGAAUACGUACAUAAUUAGAUCCGCAGAAACAAAGGCACACCUAGUUACCUAAAAGGCUAUAGAAAGCCGCAACCAUUUGCUAACGACACAUGCCCUGACCUGAUGCUACUUGCAGAGCAAGAGGUGGAUUCUACGUUCCAUUCCCUGAUCGAAGACAUGAAGGACAAGCUAAACCGGCCGCCGGCGCCAGCGACCGAAGCUCCUCCUCCUGCGUGCCUCAUUUCGUGGGUCAACGAGCAAAUCCGCGAAGCGAAGCCCGGCGAGUACAUGCCACUCCACGUCCCCAUCGGUCCGUUCCACCGGGAUCCAUCACAUUGGAUGCAGCACUGGAAGAGGCAUCUGCUCUACCGCGCCCUCCCCGGCGCCGGCGAACAACAGCGCGAACAAGCGCUCCGGCGAUACCUGGAGGCAAUGGCGGCCGUCGAGGUCCGCGCACGGCGGUGCUACGACGGCACGUUCAGUGGAAUAGACAGCGAGGCGUUUGCGUGUAUGCUGCUGCUGGACGGGUACUUCGUUCUGUCCUGUUUCGAGCUCGCUGGCAGUAACACCGGAGGUGACGCCGGGGGCCAUGGAAGCCAGGAGAGCAGACCACGAGAGUUUGAGGCUUACAGACGCGAUGUCAUCUUCCUCCUCGAGAACCAGGUACCUCUCUUCGUCCUGGAGGACAUCCACAGGCUGGUGGUGACCUAUGGUGAAAACGACAAUAGUUCAGUCGUUGUCCAAGGUAUUGCGAGCCACAUCGAAAAGCGCCUCCUCCAAUUAAUGAUGUUGCAUGACACGGUGACGUACAGGACGGUGAUGCCCAAAUUUAGGGGAGAACCACCUUGCCACCUUCUUCACCUUCUCUACGAGUACUUCCGGCCGGCCGACCGCCGCCGCCGAUCCCGUAGUGGCCAACCGAAUUGUUCUCGCACGGCGGCAGUGGCGCACGUCGCGGUUCCUGUCGUGACCAAGCCUCGCUGGCGCUCCGCGACGUACUACUACGCCGCCGGCGUGAGAUUCGCCAAGCGCAAGCUCGACGGCAACGAGGUGCGUUCCAUCCUAGACGUCGAUGUCAAGGACGGCACGCUCCAUGUCCCUUGCUUGAUGGUCGACGCCAACGCGAUGACCAUCCUGCGCAACAUGGUGGCGCUGGAGCAGCACAACCCCGGUAUCGGCAGCCGACACGUGACGGCCUACUGCUUCUUCCUGUCGCAGGUGGCGAGCACGGAGGAGGAUGUCAGGCUCCUCUCAAGUAAGGGGAUCAUCGAGCACGGUCUCAGAACGGAUAGCGCCGUCGCCAACGGCUUUGCGGGCCUCUGCACGGGCGUCGCCCUCAACAUGACCAAUCCGGACUCGUACCUGAAGCCGAUUCAAGAUGAUCUCGAGGUGCUUUGCCAGAGCCGCUGGCGGAAGUCCAUGGCGUGGCUCAGGCACACCAAGUGCAACAACAUUUUGAUGGCGUUGGCGGUGUUAGGGGCGGUCAUCCUCUUCGUGUGCACGGUGGAGCAAUCUUUGUUUGCUGCUUUAAGCUACGCCAAGGGAAAAUAAUCCUGGAUCUAUUCAUUGCCAUGAGCAUAUAGCAAGAAGAGAAGAACGUGUCCCGUUGCAUGUCAUGUAAAGCACGAAAAGGUAUUGCAAGACAGGUAGUUCAUUGUGUCAAAUUAGUGAGUCUAAUGUAACUAAGGCAUAUUUUCACACACCCAUGUAUUUUAGUGAGUCUUAUUCCAUACAAUAUUUAGAAAUAUAUUAAAUAUUAAGGCUAGAAAACUGUAAACAUUGUCUCUUGCACUUUUCAACACCAGAAUCAUAUCUUUCCUAUUUCUUAGACAUGAUGAGGAUUGACCGAAUACGCAACACGUCGCGCAUUUGAACGAUCGCGCGACCAGCGCGGGAGCUAGUUACCUAUGCACUGAGCAUGCAAGUUAUCAUUUUUCUCGUGAACGGUAAGCUGUACAUGGAGAGAGGAUAUAAAAAAGGUAGAUGUUGACCAUAUUAAUAGGUUGUUCCUCCUACUUCAAAAUGUUGUUUCUCUCACAUACAAAGUCCGUUUUUAAUUUUGUUUACAUCAUUGUGUUUCUUAUGACGAGAUCUACAAAACUAGAUCCCCAUUGCAUAUACUGACAUCAUUUUAAUCGUGCUGACAACUUAUGUUUGGAGGUACUAACAAUUUAAAUACAUUUUGUACCAACUUAUGUAGAGAUUGCAUGCCAACCUAAACAUAACUGGUAUUAGCACUUACAUAUACAAGUCAUGGUCAAUUUAUCUAUACCAAAACAACAUAUCAAUAUGUAGCACUAUUAAUUUGUGCCUGUUAGUACCGUCAACUUAUGCAUAGUGGUACAUCUAACUUAUGCAAAGAUACGGUAGUAAUCUAUAUUAAAUGUGAAGUAACAACUUAUAUCAUAUAUCAGCUAGCAAUUUAUGUUUACAGUUGUUAGUGCUAUUGAGUAUAAGGUUAUAGGCCGAAUAAAAUAACUUCAAGAUAUGUGCAAUGUGUGGGUCUUAUUUUGUAGAUUUAAUUAUAAGAAACCUAAUGGUGCAAAUGGAGUGGAAAAUGGAUAUUAAACGAGACAGCAGCGAUGAUUCAAAGAAAAUUAGGUGGGCUAGUAUUGAAUAUACAUUCCCUAAUCUAGUUAACAUGCCACCAUGUUAUUUCACAGCAUCUCACUCUGUACUAACGACAUAAAACUUUCAUCCACUCGGUCUAAUUACCCGCCUAUAAAGCCCAUAUUGUUGCUUACAGGGCCAAGCGUGGGCCACGGGAGUCGCCCACUGCAGUACGAGCGCGACCCUGCAUGCAAUAGCUUUUUCCUAUGACCAAGUGUGCGCAACAUCAUUUGUUAUGUGCUAGUGCUUAACGGCCCAAUACGCCAGCCUAUCAUCCAGACAACGGCUGAAGAGAUGCGGGUGACAGCCCACAUCAAAUAGCUCACCUGUUGCAGCCGACCAUAUGCUAUUGUCCCCACUACUCUAACGCAUGAACGGUUGAAUGUCCGAAGAGAGGAUGAACUAAUGACAUCACCCAUGUGCAUACAAAUCCAAAACUAAAAAAAUAUAAAUCUUAGAUGUGACAUUAAAAUUAAAUUUCGAUUGCUAAUGAUCUUCGAAACAAGGUCCCUCUUAACUAUGUUUGAAUAAUAUUAUUAAAAAAUAUUUUUUAAUAAAUAAUAAUUAAUUUCAGCUACUCUGAACAAAUAAUUGAACAUAACGAACAAAUGAUAAUUUCUUAUGAACAAAUAGAUAAACAUGCCAAAAAAAUAAUAAUAUACUCUGAGCCAAAAUAGUUGAAAUCACGAACAAUUUGUUGUAUAAUACAAAUAAUAGAAAUUGAAUAUCAUGACCAAAUACGUACGUAUUGCCAAACAAAUUAUAUGUACUCACAGAACAAAUAUGCAUACCCCUAGAACAAAAUAAAGAUUUAUACUCGAACAAGUUCUAUAACUUUGCACAACAAAACAACCAUACACAUCGAACUAAUUAUACAAUAAUAGAACAAAACUAUACAAUAAAAAAAAAUUAUACAAAUUAGGGAGACAAAAAAAUAUUUAUAAACUUAGAAGAAAUUACAUUAAUUAUAGAACAAAGCAAUUAUACGCACCAAACUCAAAAAUAUUUAUACCAUAGAACAAAUUAUAUUUAUAUACUUAUUAAUAAAAACUAUAAAUAAAAAGAAAUAAAUGUGAAAAAUAAUGAAACAAAAGAAAGGAAAAUAUGUAUAUAAAAAAUUAUGGGAACAAAUAUAACCAUGUCGCAAAUGAAAAAUAUAUGCAUAUGGAACUAAUAAGUAUAUAAAUAUAUAAAAAUGAAAAUGAAAAAUGAAGAAAAAGAAAGCAAUAGCUAAACAGGAAAAAACAAAAUAGGAAUAAAAGAAUAAAACAAAUGAAAGAAAAGGCAAAAAAAUAAUAGAAAAAUAAAAAGAAAACGAAAACAACCGUCACAUGGGUCGUAAUUGGGCUGUUACCGUCUCGUGUAGAAGGAUGAAAAAGAGCAACAGGCUGAAUCCACCCUGGAUACCUAUCUGUCGCAUAUGCAACAUAUAGCUAUCCGCACGUACAGGAGCCCUUGCAAGGCGUCUCGGGCGUCGGUUCGCAUCAAGCAAUCAUGGAUCAACUACAAGUCUACAAGUAGGCGACUUGAAGGAAUGCUCAAUGCUGUGACGGUGCGACAUGCGAGCUUGCCACGGCCACAGCCGCUUGGCAAUGCGGUAGAGGCCAAGAUGCAUUCAAAGAGAAAGGGCGAUGCCAAAUCGAGAGGUACACAACUAUGUAUUGCAGAUUUGCAGCUAACAAAUUUUUUAUGUUUCCAAUUUAACCUUAAAUCGCAUGGCUAGACUCUGGUGUGUCUCUUGACUUACUGCACCUGCAUUUUUUUUGUAUUCUGUCCUCAAUUUUAAAUCAUCUCUAUGUAUAUGUUCUAUAUUUCUAUGAUUCGUACUCGGCACAUCAUUGCAUAAUGCAUAUACACCUUGCAGGCAUUAUAAAAAAUAAUUUUUAGAACUUGUUGAAAUGACAUUUGCAGAAGAAUUGGUGCGCUGUCCUCUCGUGCUUUUCGCAUGUAGAAAUAGCUUAUUUGCAUGGGUGGCUCAUUACACAUAUAAAUUUAUGACAUUUUCAAGCAAAAUUUUAAAAUUUUUGUUCACCCCAGUAUUAACGUAUUCAGCAUUAAAUAUUCAAAUAAAUAUACAAACAUAAUUUUUAAUAUAAAAACAAGAUAUAUAUAACAAGUAUCACAAGUUCAUACAUAUUAUUUAAGAUGUCUAAAAUAGCAAGUUCAAAUCCAUAUAAAAAGGGUACGGGUACCUUCAUGUUACACAUUUUGUAUUUCUCUAUAUUUUAUUAGAUAUGGAACAUAGUUAAUAUCUCCAAUCAUAAAUCCUAGCACUUCAUCAAUUUAAAUUAGAGCAUGAAUUAGUACAACCUCAACUGCUUCACAUCGACGAUAACAAUGGAGAGGUAAAAUCUAAUGUCCUAUAUAAACUGAGAUGAUCCUGCCACUUGCGUAUAUUAACUACAAUUCAAUACAUCCAAGGCUUGAGAUGGAAUUGCAUGAAAACUCAUAGCCGCAAAGGUUUGACAAAAUAUAUCUUAAAAGAUGAGAAUAGCAUGAUGAAACUUUGUUCCAUAAGAAAAGAUAAAGUAAAAUUAAAUAUGUUCCAUACCAUUUCAUUUUCAUUCAGCUCUCUCAAUAGUCACAGCCACAUCUUGUUCUCCCUCCUCAAGCGUCUUUGUUAAAAAAUAUGAGAAGUCUGGCAUAAAGUACCCAAGAUCCUUAAGCUAUUGUAGACAGACGAUUACAGUGGUUCUUUUGAAAGUCAACUUCAUUAUUGUUGACUGCAGUUAGCACGCCAAGUUGUGAACUGCAAGCGCACGUGUGGCAGAACCACCAAAAUUAACUUGGCUAAAAUGCUCUUAACUUCGCCUCACAUGCGAAUCAAUACUUUCAAGUUAACUCGGUAGUCUAUCGGAUUAUACCCGAUAAACCACUUAACUUGGAUCGUCACAAAGCAUACUCAUUCGACGGUGAGUCCAGAGAUCACAACAUUCUAGUUGAAUUAAAUAUAGUUCUCACUUUAAUUUAUUACAACAUAAGUUCAAAAAACAAACAUAGUUUUUAGAGUGUUCUGGCAGUGAAAAAGUUCAUGCGGAAGCUACUCGUCGAUACAAAAUAUCACGGCGAAGCCAACCAUGAUAUCAAUAACCGUGAUCCUCGCCAUCCGAGGAUGGGUCCCACUCGACCAUCCAACCCAGAGGGAGCUGGGUCGGCCAAGUCAACCUAGCAGCACAGUCAUCAACAUCUAUCAUAAUACCUAAAAAGAUAAGCCACAAGCAAGGUUGAGUAUACUAAUACUCAGUAAGACUUAACCGUCGGGUGUUAACUACUCCACCAACUUCUAGACAUGCAAGACUUUUUGGUUGAGGGGUUUGUUUUGCCAAAAGCAUCUAGGUGGGUCCUAGUGAUAUCCAUUCUAGGUAAGCACCUAUUCUAAGCAAUCAUGUGAUCAAGCAAUUUAAUUCAAGCAUCAGUAUUAUUCAUCACCAUUUGUUCCUCUUCUUACUUAGUGCAAAAGUGCAGUCAAGUAGUCUCAAACUUUGAGCGGCAGAUGAUUCAAAUCGAGUUUUUAAAACCUUGCAAGGUGAACCUAACCCCACGACAUCCGCGUACCACGACGGGUUCGCUUCACUUGUCAGCCGUCCCCAUCAAUUCCCAGGCACAUGGUCGGGCCCACUUCCCUUGGAUACAAGGCCCCAUGGUCCCGAUCGACGUCGUACCAUGGCAACACCUGUACCCACAUGCGGCCGCAGGGGACUAGUUCCAGAGAUAGUGGGGAGGUACGCCCACAUUCCGGUUCAAUCUGGUGCUAGGCUUUCCCAUCCCAUACUAGAUAUGAGAUUAGUAUUUUCAAAGACUUGACCACUGUUCUAACACAUCUCGACCUUAGCAGUUUUUUUCUAGACAGACGGGGCAAUCCACCAUCCACCAAAACAGAACAUAUAGCCUAGUACCGCCCGUCAAUCCUUAUGAUUCCAACAUAAGUAAACAGACAACUCCUAUAGCUCGCGAGUGACAGGAAAUCGCUCGACUUUUAUCGUGUCCCUAUUUAGCAUAGCAACUACAUGACUUAAAAUACUAGUAUUUAGCACAUAGGUACCUAGGAUCAUGCAACUAAGGUUUCAAGCAACUCCUAUAAACUUAAUGCACAAACAUAACUAGCAUAAGUAGUGCAUAAUUUUAAAAACCAGGGUUAUGCUCCGGGGCUUGCCUUCCUGGACUAGGUUAGUAAGCAGGUCGUUGGAAGCUUCAGGAAUCUCCUACUCGGCCUUGGUGUGGUGCAGCUCGGCAAAUCCUUCCUCCUCAGCAGGUGUUAGUUCGUACGUUCCGUCUGCGUGGUUCGCUUCUACACAAGAUGCAUAUGCAAUGUUCAAGUUUCAUGAGUUUGCGAGCAAGAUGCAUUUCAAGUUAAACAGACGCAUUAAGUGCAACAACCACUACACUUAGAUAAACACUAAACUUUAUAUACUAGAUGAGUAAUUUUGUGUUUUAAUGCUCGGGGUGUAAUUGAUGGUGAUUGUGUACACAUGUAUUAGGUUUGUAAUUACUAACUGCCAAAGAGAAAAGGUACCAUCCUAGGGUUGAUCUAGCUUAGAUCGGAAAGUAAUCCUAUUUCUGAAUGUUUUUUUUACUUGUUCCAAUAUUUCCCAUAUUACCCUUACUAUUACUUAAUUUGUUUUCAUUCAUUUAUUUUGGGUUUAACUUCCAUAAUUUGUUUCUACAUGCAAACAGUGAGAUAUGGCACUGAAAAUUUACGAGGAACUUAACCAUAUCAUUGCUAAGCUAGUGUAAAAAGUUGAGGCUCAGUAGACUUCUUCAAAAAUAAAUAAAAUUAACUUAAGAUCCUAUGGUUGAUUCCACUUAACUAUAUUUAUCUCCAGUUUCACAGAGAGUUUGGCUCUGAAAUUUUAACAGUGAGUUAUACUAGUGCAACAAAGGUUCCUGAAAUUUUGCCAUGAUUUACAGUGAAGGACAUAUAUUUCCAUAUUUUUCCUUCAUUUACACUUGUACAAAAAGUUAAGCAUGUUUCAUCAAGUUUCAUACAGUGACCCUUAUUUUUCCUAGUGGGUGUUUUGCAUCCAUGAUCUAAGAAAAGUGGUUUCAUAGUUUUCUCCGUCUUAUUCCGUUUAUUAUGCAAAAAGUCAGAUUCCACCUAAGGUUUCAAAGUUUAUUCUCAAAUAGUGGUGUUAAACAUCUAACUAGGCUCACAACUAUUUUAUUUAGCACAAGCUUAACAGAACAGAUCUAUCAGAAGUAGAUUUGUCAUUUUACCAUUUUUAGGUGAUUUAUGGUGCAUUUAUUGGAUUGAACACAAAAUAAAUCCUAGAGAAAUAACUACUACAGUGACAUGUACAAAAUUAUUUUUCUGUGAAAUUACUCGACUCAAAGAGUCUAACAAAGGUUGUUUUGUAUUUUUCCCAGUUUGAUACAAUUUUCUACACAUUUUCAAAAUUUGCAACCAUUUAAUCUAGGAAAUAAAAGAAAACCGUGACCAAAUUGCAAAACAGCCCCCAGAUCUAAAGUUUCUUUGCACAUAAGUCCCUAAAAUAUUCCCCAUACACCCCUUCUCUUCUUCUCCUUCUCCCUUUAACACCCUCACACAUCAUAUUCAGGAAGAUAGAAACACAACACGGUAGACUUGGCAUGGCCAUGGCUAGGGGGAUGGCGCGGCAGGGAGGGGGAUAGCGGCACAGCGGGGCCUUGGGGACCAGGAGCCUCACCAGCAGGGGUGCAGCGCAGGGAGGAAGCAGGGCAGCGCAGGUUCCAGGAGGCUUCACGGCAACAGAAAAAGGGGGCGGAUGGGCUCGCCGUGGGGAGGACCGUCCGGCGAGGGAGAGAGCCCGGGAAAUGGAAAAACGGAUGCACGGUGGCUUGAGGAAGGUGUGGCUGCGAGGAAUCGAGCCAAGGCUCGCUCACGGCGAUGAAUUUUGCUGAUGAAGGAUGGGAAAAGAUGGAGCUCGGGUCACUGGUAAUGGAGGUGUAGGGUGUGGGGAAGCUAGCACCUGGCUUUAUAGGUGGGGAGUGGCGAGGAUAAGGUUGGCGUGAAGAUAAGGGCACCACGGCGACACGGGACGACCAUUGGCGGCGAGGCGAGCUGUGACGACCGACCCCGAAAUCUCCCGAGUUAAUCUUAAUCCGACCCCCUAAUCACUUGUCUUAGUUUUCCAAGCCUAAGUGUUCAACCUCCCGACCGGUCCCGACCCCUGAGACCCGACGACCCCUCUCCGCUGGCAUCCAGUUCCGACCCCGCCGACCCCAACUCACCCGCUGGAUCUUUCUGAGUCAUUCCCCAACACCUCCCUUCAAUCUGACCGGUGGGCCCACGAGAUCUUUUCUCCCAGAUCCCCCGCGACAGGCGCACUCGAGUUGCAUGCUCGCUUCAGAGUUCCCCCGCCGCGUGGCUCAACUCCUCCGACGUCCGCCGCUCCGCCUCAUCUUCGGCCCGCGACCAAAUGGAUUCUCGCGCCCUCCUCCCAAUAGCAGCGGAAGCCCCUCUGCAACCUUUCUGCAGCACCUCGCUGCCCGCGCCCAUCAUCACAUCGCCAGAUCCCGGCCGCAGAGCCCGAUGUCGCCCGUCUUUUCCGUCACCUCGCCACAGUCGCGCCGCUUGGUCUUCGCUACCCGACGAUUCCUCCUCCGCCAACCCCGACCACGGCAGCGAUAGCUCCUUUUCCCGCCCUGUUAGAAGCCGCCCGACAAUCUGUUGCUCCGCGCUCGCCCGCGCGCCCGCAGCCGCCUGUCUUCUCACCUGUGCGCCCUCGUUCCUAGAACCGUUAUCCCGGUCACUUCCAUCAGCUCCACCGCACGACGACGCCCGCCUCCGCCAAAUCUCAACCACCGGCAAACCCGCGCCUGCGCCGCCCUGACGCCAGAGCCCAAUGACCACUAGCGUCAUCCCCGAAGUCCUGCUCCACCGCCCUCGUCGCUCAAUCGCCGCCCAGGUAGAGCACUCCAUUGCUUCUUCCCCGGCCUUCGCGCCGCUCCCCUUCUCACACCCGCGCCGCUAUAAAAGGGAAUGCGCGAGCCCCGCCGGAGUCCCCUUCGCCAUCGCUGCCCUCCCGCCAUUUCUCUUGCUCCCUGUUCGAGCUCCCAGCGCCACCACAGUAAGUUCCUGAGGAACUCUCCUCUCCGCUCCACACCGUUUUCCCCAAGCCACCCAGCCGCUUGCUCCUCCGUGCUGCGUAAGAGCUUACUUGUGAUCCACAAGAAGCACCGCCGCCACCGGAGCACUGCCGGACCUCGCCACUGUUCAAAGCCUUAGUCCCUCCACCCAAGUCUGCUUCUUCCCGACCCCAAGCUUUCCUUGUAAGACGAAGGUAAGCUGCCGACCCCUUGUCCGCCUCGUCCGACCCUUCUGACGUCCGACCUUUGUCCGUCUCGUCCGACCCCUUUUGUUCGUCCGACCUUUUCCGCCUCGUCCGACCCUUGUCAGCUUCGCCCGACCCCUUUUAUCCGCCCGACCCCGGUUCCGUCUCGCCCGACCCUGUCUGUUCCGCCAACCCUUUUCCGCCUCGCCCGAGGACUCGGCUGUAUCCUUUUUCUUCGAACCGAGGGUGUAUGUGUAAAACUUGGGGACCCUUCAGCGUUGAGUCUGAGGACCCCUAGCACACCAAAUCCUCUAGAUUAAGGGUCAGAUCAUAAGUUCCUUUCCUUCGACCCUUACCUCUUGAUCUCCAUCAACUCCAUUGAACUUUCCCACCCUCCUGUAUCUUGUCACAAGUUUCUAGGCUCAGACUUGCAAGUGUUGCUGUUGAAAUAACCGUCUAUGCUAACUCUUGCAUUGCAUUUUCGUGUAGAGCUGCGUCUCGCCGACGGCUACUACAAGCUGCACCCGGGCCAGAAGACGACGGUGUAGCCGAGCUCCUACCCCCAGAAGCCGAAGCCGCCCAAGCAGAAGAGCAACUUCCUCCUUUCUCGCUUGAAGGCAAGCCCCGGAUGCAUGAAACUCCUGUGUUUGCCAAACUUGCGCAUGCCUUCUGCAUCUUGUUUGUGCAUUUACGUAUAGGAGUUGUUUGGAACCAUAGGUGUAUAACUUAGAUCCCUUGAUCUGAACACUAGCUGUUGGAUCGAGUAGCUGCUUUGCUUAAAUAGGAAGCGGUAAAAGUCGAGUGAUUUUCUGUCACUCGCGAGUUGUAGGAGUUGGUUGUCUUCCUCCUAUCACAACUAUAAGGACGAUGGACGGGGCAGGGUUUUGGGUAACUCUUUGGUGGUCGGUUGAUCAUCCUGUCUGUCUGUGAAACUUGCUAAGGCCCGGCAGUGGUGGUGUUCGUGAUCAAGUGUUUGAAGGUACUAACCUCAUACUUAGUAUGGGAUGAGGAAGCCUAGUACCGGAUUGAACCUAGACGUGAGCGGUUGCCCCAUUGUUCUUGGAACAGAGUUUCCCCUGCUGGUUGUCGCACGUGGUGGCAAGCGUGGUCACAGAACGGCAGAGGCCGGGUCUGUGGGACCUUGCACCAAAGGAAAUGGGCCCGACACGGGUUAGGGGAUUGAUGGGGAAGGCCGACACAGGAAGCGACCUCCGGGUGCGCGGAUGUCGUGAGGUUAGGUUCACCAUGCAUGGUUAAAGAACUCGAAUCGAUUCGUCUGCCUCUCAUAGUUUGAGACUGCUUGAUCGCUAUGCUACCCUGAGUAAGAAAGAAAUAUGAUGAUGACAUGGUUUUGUUGAUGUUAUAUAUACACCUUUGGUUGGUUCUAUGAUUGCCUAGAAUAGGUUGCAAAACUUAGACCGGAUAAUGAACUUAGAACCGGAGCUAAAACUUGAAAGUAGGGUUACACAUAGUGCUUUUGGCAAACAAACCCCUCAGCCAAAAAGCCUUGCAUGUCUAUAAUUGGAGGAGUAGCUUUACUCCUGUCGGUUAAGUCUUGUUGAGCUUAGUAGCUCAGCCUUGUUGUGGCUUUUCUUUUCAGGUGAAGUUGCUGCUUCCGAGCCUUCUUCCGUUGGCACUUGGCCGCCCCAGCUCCCUCCGGGUUGCACGGUCGAGUGGGAUCCCUCCUCGGACGGCGAGGAAAGGGACCACUGACAUCUUGGCUGGCCUCACCAAGGACGUCCGACCCCUGCGUUAGCUUCCGCUAGUAUUUUACCUUCUGUUGUUUUUCUUUUGAACCUUGUAAAACUCUGAUGAUUUGUUUUUCUGGCCGAACUAAAUGGUUAAGUUGAUUAACUCGGUGGACUUGUUGUAUUCUCUGGAACCACUCACCUUCGUGUGAGUUUGCUAACUCGAUCCUGUUCACGUGGUUAAUCGGAUGAAAUCCGACGGCACUUCGUGUUAACUUGGCUUAGGCAUGGGUGUCGCAUGUUAGGCGACUUAACCCUGUUUAAUUAAGUCAAUCCGAAGUGGAUCCGCCACACGAGCGCUGGUGUUCCCUGGCCGUGUGGCGGUGGUGGCAUUCCGAGCGGCAGGGGCGCGGGUUGGCCGUUGGCCGGCUAGGAUGCGCUGCAACGGGUAGAGAUGUGCUCGCGAGGGGGUUGGGUAGCGUGGGAGCUCGUGUGGCUUGGUGCACGCGGUGACCGCGCACCUGGCAGGUGGGCGAGAAUGCGACGGCGCGCGAGGUAGCUAGGUUUAGGCGUAUUUUACUCACAAUUUUCAAACGGAACUUGAAAAUAUUUCAAACUAAAGGUUAUAGUCCUAACUCCAGACUACAAACUCUAGAAAGGCCAUAUGCUCAAAUCUGUGGUAAUUUUGAAGUUAAACUCAAGCCAAAAUUUGCUGGAUUGCCGCUUCCAACACUUAGCAGAAGAUUUGAAAGAAGUCGUAUUUAAAGCUUUUGCUGAACCUUAACUCAAGUUUUGAAAGGGUUUUGCUCUAAUUUAGACCAAGGUCAAAUGGACAACAUUGUUGUACACACUUCACACUCAAACACUUAGAAAAGGAUCAGGUCCAAAAGAGUUUUAGAUUUUGUAGAAUCACACGCCAAAUUGGAAGACACGUCUUUUAGAAUUUAGAGCAGUGUGCUGAAUUUGGAGUUGGAGCUGAUUUUGGAGUCGAAUUUGAAACGGUUCCAGUGUGAGUUGGUCAAUGCUCAAAUUAACAAAGUUGUUGUCUAAAGUUCAUUUUACAAAUUCUAUAAAGGCUUCAUCUUCAAACCAGGUCUAGAUAUAGAGAUAAUAGGUUUUAAACUUCCCUAACAGACAUGUUCUUAAGGACAUAGUGAAUUUGACAAGGUGUUUGAAUUAACAUUGAAAUUCAAACUGAUUUUUGAACGUCUUCCUCUCCAAACUAGCAAAAUUUCAAAUAAGCAAAGUUGUUUGUUUUGAUAUGUUUUACAAGUCUUAUAUUGGUAAAAAUUGAAGUUGUUAUGUAAAAUAUGAAUUUGUGAUCCACCCCUAAUUUAAGCUUUUAAAGGGCAUUUUGGUCCAUUUAAGUGCUAGAUUAACUUCUAAACACUCUACUUAAGCUUUGAGAAGACUAAUUAAAACUAGGGUUGUUGCAGCACAGAUCAGUUGUAGCUUUUCCCUGAGAGUAUCCCCUAAGGUUUAUCAAUCCACAGAAUAUGGAUUUGCAUGCUUAACUAAGCACUAAUCUAUGUAACUGAAACUCUUUGUAUUGGAUAAAAUUAUGCUAACAAAAGAACUAAUCAGUAUAUAUCAAAGCAAAUAGAGAGUAAAAGGUUGUGAACAAGAUAGAUGGAACACAUGUCCGAGAGAUCUAGGAUUACUUGCAGAUGCAAUCACCAUGAAUGAAAGAACUAGAUCUAAGUGUUAUCGUGAGUGGAUGUGGACCAUGCCCAACACUUAUCCUCUUGCAUACCGUCACUACACAACACAAAGAUAAUCAACUAUUGGACAAUCGAAACAUGACAUGCUGAUCGCGUAAGCAAUAAAGCAACCCAAAGUAGUGCUGGCCAGCCAUUACAUGAAAGAGCAUCAUAAAGAUAUGAAUGAUAACAAAUAGAUCCUUAAGAAGAGGUUCAGCGAUUACAAAUCAAGAUCUCCAUACAACCGCAAGGACAAACAGAGACUUUACCCCAUGAUCUUACACAUGUUGCCACAAAAAGGGGUAAAGGACACCUAGUAGAUCAAUUGGACCGAAGAAGACAACGAACAGGGGCAGGAAAGCCCCAUGCCGAUUAGCCUGGGCACCUCCAAGCUGAUCGGCUUGGGGUGUUUUCCCCUCCUUUAGUGCUCCGCUUCACGUGGCCUCAUAUAGAUCCAAUCUUCACUCCAUUUCCCGAUCUUGUGGUAGCGGUGGCUGGUGUUUUCAUGGUGUUUCCUCCUUCUCUCUCUCUCUCUCUACUCGUAAUCCAUGAGGGGGUAUUUAUAGUCCUUCUUAGCCAGCGGCUCUGGACAAUUGGUUGUGGAAAAACCCUAGAUGCAUCGUAGACUUCACACCGAAGAAACAGGGACACGACCGGGCCCUGGAAGGGGCUAGGUCGAUCAGCCUAUAGGGUCCCUAGCCGAUCGACCUGGGCCCUUUCUGGCCCAUCUGGUCAUUCUCUUUAUUGUGCAGGCUUCUUUCGAUGACCCUCGUCCAAUUAUCCAUUAAGCUCCAUAUGAAAACCCACUGAUUAUGUCGUAUUUCCUAUCAAAAUACAAUAUGCUCCAAAAUAUAACACGUAUGCAAUAAUGGGGUUAUUUCAAGUACCAAGUGGUGGGGUUACUAUAAGUGUCAGAUUUAGUGACCGGUAGUCCAGCAAGGGGUUACUCAAGUGGUAGAUUUGUAGGAGGGGGAGAUCGUAAGACCAAGAACUCAAAUGGUAACAUAGGGAUGCAAGGUUUAGACAGGUUUAGGCCUCCUGAUAGUAAUACCCUACAUCCUGUGUUCUAGUGGAUUGUAUUACUGAUUGAGGGUGCGAAGAGUUACCCUCGAGGGGUGUCCCUGGCCGCCUUAUAUAGACUGACGACCCAGGGUUACAAUCAGAUAAGAUCUAAUCCUAGUUGGUUGUUACAUGGAAAGCAAUCUGAGUUAGUUUACAGCAAGUAUCUUGUGAUAUCCGGGCAGAAUCCGUUCGCACGACCUUUGAACAUGUGCUCCAUGUAUUUUUAUGCCUUGGCCCGCACGGCAUGGUCAGGCGGGCCCACUUGUCAGGGCCGACGAGUAUCCUGGUCGGUGGGGACCUGUGGGUAUGCUUAUCCCUUAAUAAAAUUAGUCCAAUAAUGAGCGUCAACAGUUGUUGAUUCUUGACCACAUGCCACAAUAUAUACCUUUCUACAAUCCGAAGUAAUCAAGGUGAAGGGGGGCAUUAGGAAGCUGCCGCAACCGAGGAAGAACGCCGCAAAUGCGAUUCCGUAGCAGUCAACCUGGAUCGGAAGGUGGAACUUGCGAGGAAUUGGAGGUUUCCGCAGGGAAGGGGUACUGCCUUCGCUGCGCUUCCAUGCCAUGAGCUAGUCGACGAGGAGGGGCGGUUGACCACACGGAGACCAGCACCUAGCUAGCCAGGUGGGAUCUUAAUGACUUCCGGCUGCCCUGGCCAUGCCGCUGUCCCCGUUCGCCGACGUCUCCGACUCGACCUCCUCAUCCGCGGCCGCCUGAAGACGACGACUCCGCAGACGUCGUGGUCAUGCGCCAGUUCUUCCCGGCCCCGGCAGAGGCGGCCGGCAUGGGGGGGUGUUGGAGGGGGGCGGGGGGAGGCGGCUACGGUUGUCCACCGCAACCCGCCGUAGGCGACAAAAGCGCGACAGGCGCCGGCACUGCAUGAAAUGUGGCGGCGUCUCGACGCAGCCCCGCGGUCGCGCAGCAGGGGAGCGGGUCGGGAGGAAAAUGGCGACAAGCUGGAACCUCCCCGUCCCGUGGCUAAGUGGGGUAGUGGCGGAAGUUUUGGGGAGACGAUGACCUGGUGCGGUGCAAAGAAUCGGAUCCGAUUAGAAAAAACCGAAAAAAUCAGGAUAAAACUGAUGGUAGUCACAUGAGGACGGCCGAAGGCUAAUGUGGGGUUGGCCGGCUCGGAUACGGAAUAGCAAUUCGGUACCCGUACGGAAUAAUUCCGCAACCGAGCUCAACUUAGACCGCCUCCCAUUUGUUUUAACUCAUCCCCGGUUUUUUUUUCAAUUUUUUUUCUCCCGAUCGAAUCACCUCCGUCGUGGCUCCACUUCGUCCGUUCAAUUGCCUAUCCCCUCCCUGCUGCCACCCGCCCCCUCUCCCCACGUCACCACCGGCAGCGGCGGCGUGGAGUUCCGCCGCAAGCUCCACUUUCACUCGUCCGAGCUCCACCUGGACCCGUUCCCGCUCCUCGCCGCCAACCCCGUGCUCCGCUCGGCACCGCUACCGCUCCUCCGUGACUCCCUCCGCCUCCUCGCAUCCAACGGCUUUUCCGCCCGCGACACCACGCGCGUCUUCUCCGUGUUCCCAUCCUUCCUCACCUCCCCGCCCAGCGAGCCCCUCUGCUUCCUCUCCGCCGAUACGCCGCUCCCGCCGCCGCUCCUCCGCGCCGUGAUGGUCCGGUCCCCACGCCUCCUCGUCCGGUGCUUGCUCGCCGCCUGCCCGAGCUGCUCGCCUCGCUAUCGGCCUCCCGUUUCCACGCGCUUAGCCGUCGGCAGCGACGGACUCCACUCGCCAUCCGACCCCUGCGACCAUGAGAUCCAGACCCAAUCGGGGAGGCGAUCAAAGCCCAGCUACAACUCCGGUGAGAUCUCCCACCGGAGCAGUGGAUGAAGGCGGCGACAAGCCCAUCCGUACUCCCGACAGGUGGUGGUGCGGUGGUUGCCCCCUCCUCCCGUUUCCACCUAGACUUGGUGUCAUCCCCACCUCGCCAUGCGGAUUCAAGGUGCCCCCGCCCCCGCGAUGGCUCGGCGCGGAUCCAUGGCGGCCUCAUCCCCUCUCCAUGCAUGACAGCGCCCCUAGCGAGCUGCAAGCCGCACCGUGGCAGACGGCGGGUAGACUACGGGCAUGCUGCCAUGGUUGAUGGGAUUUGGGACGCCGAUCUGGGCAGAUCCUGCACGGCACGACGGUGGCUCCCUCCCUCCACGCGAUGUCUAGCCUAAGCUUCCCCAAGCGUGGCUCGUCCGCCUCCAUGAACGGAGCUCUAGGUUAGCUCCUGUCCCUGAUGGAGUGUACAGAUUCAAGAUUUCUGUUUUUUUCUAGUCACUCCAUCAUGGAGGUCAGCAACGAGAUCAGAAACGAGAUGUAUGUGUACUCAACUGGGACUUCAUGUUCCUGAAUUUCAUUCUCUGAAAUGCUCAACUGAAUCCGUAGUGUCCCUCCUUGGAUUCAGGUGAGGUGGUCACCAUGCUCCUCUCAUGCGUAUUCAGGAUUGUUAUGUCUUUCUCUUAUUCUGAAUUAUAGAUGUGCUAAUCAGAAAACACACUGAUGGAGAUAGAAAAAAGCUUGAUGCAGAUGUGGGUUAAUAUCCAUUUGAGAAUUAUUUCACAACCACAAUGGAGACCAGUCAUUUUACAUAAGAGUCUGUACUAUGCAGUUAACUGAUAGAGUGUACUUACAAAAGGUUAGGGUGGACUUCAACCAGGGUUCUGUCAGAUAUCAGAGUAUAUUGUACUAAGUAGAGUUCAGGUUUCUGCCUUGCUGGGCCCAUGUGAUUUAGAAUACUUUUUUGCAUGUUGCCUUAUUUACGACUGUCCAAUAUGUUAGAAAAGAUGUAUGUGUAAUCUAAAAGAAAGGUGUACAAUGAUCAGUGCUUACUAAAUAUAUGGGAUAAACAAGCAUGCCUUUGUUCUCAUAACAUGCAGUGGCGCUGAUUCGCUACUCUCUGCUCUUUGCUGUAUGCAGUUAAUACAUGAUUCGAGACUACUUAUUUCUCUGCUCUCAGUUUCUCUCACUCGUGUGCAGUUUGUGGACACUUUUAUUGUUGAUUCAUUCAAUACUUGAUUUCUUUGUUCUCAAUUUUAUCUCCUUCACUUGUGCGAAGUCUGGGGACACAAGGAGGAUAUUCUGCUGCACCUUCCUAUCCAGAACUUCAGGUCAAGUUCUUUGAAGUAUUACCAUGUUCAUUUUUUAAAUGGAUUGAUGAGUUUUAUUUGUGAAGAGUGAAGAUGCAUAUCUGUUCAGAAUUCAGGUAUUCAACAUGUUCACUUUCAGAGAUGUAAACCAUAUCUGAUUAGGUUUAAUUCCUGAGAAACUACUUUUAUUCAGAUUCUUCAGCUGCAUAACGAUACUAUAUUUUUAGAUCAAUAAUUCUGAUAGUGUGUACAAUAAUACAGAUGAAUCCGUUGAAUAUCAUUGUAAAUUAGAAUAAUAACGUAAUUUGCCAGAACCAGGGGUCGCUUAUCUUUUGUUUCCCUGUACUUAAACAAAUGUUAUCUUCAUCUUAACAUUAGCAUGGUAUCCUGGAAGAAAUAUCAGAGCUAGUGCCAUCGCUCCUAAGUCAUACUGAUCAGAUUUGCCAGUCCAAAUCUGCUAGCCUGGUAGGUCGCACUUGGUUGGCUUGAUUCACUGAUCUUUUAUCACCACAACUAAGAUGAGUUGGCUCUUUGCAAAAUCAUUAUAUUCACUUUCUGUUAGGAGUACAAUUGAGAUGGACCAUGUUUUAGAAAAUAAUUGGUUCUUCCGUCCAAAUUUUUUUUUGAUUCACAAUCUGCAUAUGGUAGCUGUGGGUAUCAUUGCACAAUGUACCAUGUAAAUUUUGUGUUGUUUAUGAUUGGGUCGAGUAUUAUUUGCAACCUGAAUUAAAGAAUGCCUUUUAGUAAUUGCAUUUUCAGUUGUAUAUACUGUUAAAGGAAUUUCUGAUUGAAGUAGCUAUCUUUUGCAUUUUCAGUCUUAGCAGUUAGCAUCAUUGUACAAUCUUUGACAGUAGUAUUGUCAUUUUCUUUUCAGGUCAAUGACAUUCGGAUGUACACCGGCUGGUGCGCUAUUGAUCAGCUCACACUGGAUAUAUUCCAUUACCAGAAUAAAUGCCUCACUGAUGCCCCCCAGCAAUAAGGUACGACGUGUCAUUUCCCCUGCUUCCAUCCUCAUGAAUUUAAUUAAAUCAGGCACAAUAAGGACUUAACAGUUCGAUGCCUAGCUCAAUGAUGCUAUCCAAUGACAGUCCAACUCAAUUCUCUUCAACAAUAUAAUAUCAUCAAUGCUCCUUUUUAGUAAUACGACUGUGCAAAACUGAGUCAAUCGUUUGCAAGUAUUGACAGGAUACAUAGCCUGGGAAGUGAACUAUCUUUGAUGUCUCGCUGAUUUCUGGAAUGUACUGUGGGGUUGCUGCUGCUUCUGUAGCUGGAAACGAUGGCCACAUGCUCGAGCAGUUAAUGGUGAGGACACCAUACGCCUUUCUCUUUACUCAUCUCACCCCAGUUCUGGCUAAUUGACUCUAAAUAAGUUUGUAUAAUAUAGCUAGAUACUAAAAGAAACCCUGUCUCUUGUAUCAGCUGCCCUGCUAUUUACCAAUUAGUACCUUGUUUUGGCCACUCUAAUUUGAUAGCUUGCUGGGUGUGCUCUUAGAACAUGAGCACAGACUUUUUUUUGACAGAAAACAUGAGCACAGACUUCAUUCGAGUUAUAUUGAAUUUAGAUAAUCCUAGUAGCGAAGAAAAUUGAUUCUUGUACUUACACCUAGGAUUUGUGUUAUUCAUUACCCAUGUCAAUGUCUGUAUCCAUUUGAUUUCAAGCUCUGUUUGUGAGAACAUCUAACUACAGCCAGUUAUUCUUUAUGCAGUACAAUGGUGUGUUUGUGACACAUCAUUAUGACAAUGGAUAGAGGUUGAUGAAUUAAACCAAGAAGUGGGAAAACUUGCUGGUGUUUUCCUCAAGCAGUUAGCAGUCCAAGAUUUAGUGACAGCAGGGAGCAACCAGUUUCGUUUUGUUCUUAGGGCUGAUAAUAGUCCAGCAACCCGUUCAGAUUGUCAACACUGCGGUACAGCGACAGCUGGAGAUGCACCAUAGUGUCACUACGGUGCUGAAGUACCUAGUAGUUAUUUACGUGCAUAGGCGGUGUGAGGAGUGCAUCCCUGCACUCGAAUUUCUGAUUUUGUUGUAAUUAUGAGUGCACACAUUCGAUUCUGAUUUUGUUGUAAUUAUGAGUGCACACAUUCGACUUUCUAGGUGUAGAGGUUAUGAUCUUUUCUAAUUUGCAGGAUAGUGUGGUAUGUACUCAUUUCAACUCAUUCUGACGAGGUCAACAUGAAGUUUGAGUUUGCAAUGUUUUUGCAAUGACAAAUGUCAUUAUUUUUUACCAAGAAAAUAACUUGAUGCUUGACUGUAUAAAAUUGAAUCCUUUACCGUCGCAUGUCAUGGCGGUGGCAGGCGGAGACAGGGUUCCGGCAGCGCAGGGCAGGCUAGCUAGUUGUUGUCUCCACGCGCCUUUGCGGUCUGUGUUCGGGUCAGUCCACCGCUCCUCCUGUGCCGCUGGCAGAGGAGGCCAACCCUGCCGCAGCGCCCAGUUCUGAGUUCGGAGCGGUGCGCGUGCUCCAGAGGGGCAGGGUCGCAGGGAGUUGCCGAGUUGGUGGCCACGCAGCGGCUGGAUGAUCCGCGGCCCAUGGCAACUGCCAACUUUAUCGCGCGGGGAGGGACGUAUCAAUAGCGGAGGACUAUAUAUAUAUUAUUAAAUUUGCUCACUGGUUUAACAUCUAAGAGUAGCAAGGCAGUUUUAUUAUUCACUCGUAUUUAAAUAGAAACGUGCAUGACUCCGAGAUAAACAGCGUAGACAAUACGGAGGCAGGCAAGAUGAUGUGCUUGAUGCUUCAGCCUCCAGGAAAGAAAGUUACUUCUUGCUCAGAAGCUUUAUUAGUUCCUUCUCAAUAUUGGCAAUGAUCUGCGGUGGAACCUCCUUGCCGGACUGGUAGUCCUCAAUCGCCUGUGGCUCCACGCCGAUCUUCUGCGUGUUACCAAAAUAGCAUAUGUAAAAUAAUGUGAUAGGUGUAUAUACAACCUUAUCGAUAGAACGUGUAGUAACCUGUGCAAGCUGUCCAACGUUCAGCUUCUUGCUCUUCCUGGCUUGUUUGAGUUUUUCCCUCAGGUCACCUGAAACACGUUCAAUCAUAAGAAUAUUGGUCAUGAAAUGGUUUUAGUGUGGCAAGUUUUGUCCAAUCGUUGGUAAUAAGGAACUGAAAACAUGGUUACAUGGUUACUAGAGAACUCGGUAUUAGUCCUAGUUGGUAGGGUGCAAAUCUCCCGAAAAUCCAUCCGGGAUAAACCAAUCAAGACAAAAGGGGGGUCUUUUAUCCCGGGUCACUCAACCGGGACUAAAGACCCCCUUUUAUCCCGGUUGGUAUUGGUUGGUAAUACCAACCGGGAUAAAAAGGGUCACCACGCCAGGCGCUGCAAAAAAAAAAUCCCGGGAGGCCCCCUGCACGUCACAAGUCACAAGUCACACGAUUUUUCACGCGAAAUAUGCGCGUGCACGCUGCGUGUGAUUCGAACCCACGACCUCCAGCCUCACGCGUAGCUUCCUUGCCAUCCCACCUACAUAGCACAUCUGACUAUAUAGGGGAUGCAAUCCUUUUGUAUUAACUCGUGGGGACCCUUUUAUCCCGGUUGGAAACACCAACCGGGAUAAAAGGGGUUAUCCCGGGAUAAAAGGGGUCUUUUAUCCCGGUUGGUGUUUCCAAUCGGGAUAACUCCUUUUAUCCCGGUUGGUGUUUCCAACCGGGAUAAAAGGGUUCGAGGGAUUUAGUCCUCUUUCAGUCACCCCGUUGGGGAUCUUUUUAUCCCGGUUUGAAACACCAACCGGUAUAAAAAAAAGGGUCUUUUAUCCCGGUUGGUAUUACAAAUCGGGAUAAAAUGCGUCUUUUAUCCCGGUUGGUGUUUCAAAUCGGGAUAAAAGGCCUCUCAGGGCUUUUUUUUUCCACUAGCCUUUGCAAUCGGGAUAAAAGGUCCUGGUUGGUGAGCCCCCGCCAGUGAUCGAACUUUAGUCCCGGAUGGUGAAAUUUUUAUCCCGGACCAACUUUAAAUCAGGACAAAAGGGGACGCAUGGAAGAUGAGUUGUCUACUAGUGUUACGAUGGGCUACAUUCUCUCAAUAAUCAGCAGUCCUUGUCUAACCGCACGGAUUUUGAAGGAAACAACUUUUGAACAAAUUUUAGAAGGCAAAGUGAAAUGCAUCCGUGGCCAUGUGCUGGAGUAAAUCCUGAUCCUUGCAGUGGAUCAGUGCAUGCCUGCUCCCAACCUUGCGUUUGUCCAUGUUCACGACCCCAGUAUCCCCCCGUGCUGCAUUCAUAUAUAUUGGUUUACGCUGCGUUGCUUGCGCUCACGUCAACUGCACUCCGAUCCUUUGAUGUCGUUUCGUAUCAUUAGAAAUGCUACAAAUAUAGUUAAAACCUAGAAAUUUCAAAAAAAAAAAAGACAACAUCUUACCAUCAAUUUUGUAGAUCCAUCAUUUUUAUAAUAAUAGCCAUUAGAACUAACUUACUUCUCUUUCAUCGUGAAAAUAUCAUAAAUUAAAUUGAUACUCUACAUUUGCUUCAAAAUUGCCCAUAUUUACCCCCCCUACGUCCGUAUCUAAAUACCCCAUCUCUACACCAUUUUUGAAAAAUAACAUAACAUACUACCCUCAAUUUCAAUCUAAAUUACUCAAUCCAUAAUUGUUAAAAAUAACCAAAAUUUAUCUCAAUUGGCUUAGACAAUUGUUCAAAACGUUGCAAUUCUCAUUUCUAUCAUUUCUCUUGGCGCAAAAAAUAUCUAUAUUUGCACUCUAUUCACUUAAUUUUUAAUUUUCAUAUUUUCAGACCUAGAAUUUCCGUAUACUGUAAUUCAUAUUCCCAUUCAAAGAUAUGUUAUCAACAAAACAAUUAUAUUUUAAGCAAAUGACGUGAAUGGAUUGUCAGAAUUGUUCUGUUAUAGUUCCCAUCACGGCGUUUAAAAGAUUUAAAAGAACGGUCUAGGGUUCAAAAAUCUUGGGUAUCGGCUUAUAUAUAAAAAUUCUAAACAUCAAAAUUUUCUUAUGUUUUUACCAUCGAGUGCAUUAGUUAUGUCUUUUGGACAUUUGUGUGGAGUAAUGAUCACGCUAAAAACCAUGAUUGAUCCUAUAGGUCUGAUUAUUUAUUGUGCAUGUUGCAAUUGAAACAAAUAAAAGCCAAAUAGAUACUGAAACAUGAAACAUGAAAAAUAUUUUUUUGGUAAAUAUACCAUUUUGAAUUUAUAUGGUAUAUAGAAAUGUAAAUACUCGAACACUUUAAAUUUCUCAUAUUCAUAUUAAUAACUUAUAUUUAUUUUUAUACGUAUUUUUUGUUUAGCACAGGAAACCUCUCUGUUUUAAUUUUAUUGUACCAGAGAUAUGAACUAGGUUGAUGGCUAACACUAUCCCACCAAACUCAUCAUAUGUCAUCCCUCCAUCCUAAAACGUAAGGCAUUUUAGAGAUUUAAGGACCUAUACACUGACAAAGUACACAUGUAUUCUUAAGUUAAGAUGUGGAUAGCUGUAUUUCCUUGUUGUUUUAAUGACAGUUGCAGAUAACAAGGAGCUCAAUUCACUAGACCCUCAAUCAACCAAACUAAUCCUUCUAACAGUGAUGAGAAUUGAUGCAAUUUCUUAAAUGUGCCUAGAAUACCUUAUAUUUGAGGAUAGUUUUUCAAUGAUUAGAUGCCUUGUAUUUCAUGAUGGAGGGAGUAUAGACCAUAAAAUUUGAUUCCCUCAACAAUACUAGUAGAAAUCAUGGGAGUAAGGCUUGAUACGCAUAUAAUAUAUUUUUUUGCUAGAGUUUCUUGUAUCUGAGAAUCAUAGACUAAACCUAUCAUAUAGUACCAUGUAGAGCAUCCAUCUCAUUUUUGACCCGGAAUUUAUUUUGGAUUUUGAAUAAAGUAACUAGAAAGCGAUAUAAUAGAGAGAAACAACUAGAUUGUUUUUCAAGCAUUGCAUAUACCGUCUAUGGAUUACCUAGAAUUUUUCGGUGUAGUAUGCAUCAAAACGUUUGAUAAUAUUCAAAAGAACCACAUGGGUAGACAGCAAAAAGUUUCUAAACGUUGCAAAUCGGUUAUGCGCUUACCACUAGAUGAACUAGCUGUGUUGUUUCGACCUAGUUGCCUCGAAUGAUGAUCACGCUGGAAACCGGGAACAGUAGAUGUCUGAUUAGUGUUAACUGCACCGCCUGUUGCACAAGAAACAAAUCAGAAAUGGAAUGGUUGUCCAAUAAUUUGAACAGAUGAAUUGUUGUAAAAUUAACUGCGACAUAUCUAGAACUAUAACAUCUCACAAUAUUGAAUUUAACAUAUCUAGUCAUGUUUUUGUAUAAAUUUGCUGUCCGUGUAAACCUUUUGUUUUUGCUGAAUAGCAAGCAAAAAAACCUUUACGCACAACUUUCUAACUGUCUUCUUUACAGACAGUACUAGGAUAACGUGCUUCCUAGGUUCCUCGAGUUUGGUGGGUACACGAUGUAUUACAUGGGUGUUCUGGUUUCAGCCCAUGUGGUAUAAUUAUUCUAGUACGGUGGAAUUAACGGUGGAAUUAGUACCACCUCUAUUGUAUAUGUGUAUAUAUUGUGUCUAAUUAAAUAUAAAAAUAUUUGUUGGCUUGCUGCUCUAAAUGUAGCACGGUUGUACUAUACAGAAUUUUUUCGGUAUUAACUACCACGUCAUUUAGCACAGUUUAUAGAACCAAACAAAAUAAAAAAUAUGAAAAAUAUUUUUUUUGGUAAAUAUGCCAUGUUGAAUUUAUAGGUAUAUAGAAAUGUAAAUACUGGACUACUUUAAAUUUCUCAUAUUCAUAUUAAUAAAUUAUAUUUAUUUUUAUACGUAUUUUUGUUUACCAAAACUUUUUGCUUAGUAUAUAUAGGAAGCACAGGAAUCCUCUCUCUGUUUUAAUUUUAUUGUACCAGAGAUAUGAACUAGGUUGAUGGCUAACACUAUCCCACUAAACUCAUCAAAUGUCAUCCCUCCAUCCUAAAAUGUAAGACAUUAUAGAGAUUUCAGGACAUAUUAGUAGGACUGACAAAGAACACAUGUACUCUUAAGUUAUGAUGUGGAGAGCUGUAUUUCCUUGUUGUUUUAAUGACAGUUGCAAGGAGCUCAAUUCACUAGUCCCUCAAUCAGCCAAACUAAUCCUCCUAGCAGUGAUGAGAAUUAAUGCAAUUUCUUAAAUGUGCCUGGAAUGCCAUAUAUUUGAGGAUAGUUUUUGAAUGCUUGGAUGCCUUGUAUUUUAUAAUGGAGGGAGUAUAGACCAUAAAGUUUGAUUCCCUCAACAAUACUAGUAGAAAUCAUGGGAGUAAGGCUUGAUACGCAUAUAAUAUAUUUUUUGGCUAGAGUUUCUUGUAAUUGAGAAUCAUAGACUAAACCCAUCAUAUAGUACCAUGUAGAGCAUCCAUCUCAUUUUUGACCUGGAAUUUAUUUUGGAUUUUGAAUAAAGUAAUUAGAAAGCUAUAUAAUAGAGAGAAGCAACUAGAUUGUUUUUCUAGCAUUGCAUAUACCGUCUAUGGAUUACCUAGAAUUUUUUGGUAUACUACGUAUCAAAACGUUUGAUAAUAUUCAAAAGAACCACAUGGGUAGACAGUAAAAAGUUUCUAAAUGUUGCAAAUCGGUUGUGCGCUUACCACUAGAUGCGCUAGCUGUGUUGUUUUGACCUAGUUGACUCGAAUGAUGAUCACGUUGGAAACCGGGAACAGUAGAUGUCCGAUUAGUGUUAACUGCACCGCCUGUUGCACAAGAAACAAAUCAGAAAUGGAAUGGUUGUCCAAUAAUUUGAACAGAUAAAUUGUUAUAAAAUUAACUGCGACAUAUCUAGAACUAUAACAUCUCACAAUAUUGAAUUUAACAUAUCUAGUCAUGUUUUUGUAUAAAUUUACUGUCCGUAUUAACCUUUUGUUUUUGCUGAACAGCAAGCAAAAAACCUUUACACACAACUUUCUAACUGUCUUCUUUACAGACAGUACAUGGAUAAUGUGCUUCCUAGGUUCCUCGAGUUUGGUGGGUACACGAUGUAUUACAUGGGCCUUUUGUGUUCUGGUUUCAGCCCAUGUGGUAUAAUUCUUCUAGUAGGGUGGAAUUAGUAGCACCUCUAUUGUUUAUGAGUAUAUGUUGUGUCUGAUUAAAUAUAAAAAUAUUUGUUGGCUUGCUGCUCUAAAUGUAGCACGGUUGUACUAUACGGAAUUUUUCGGUAUUAACUAUCACGUCAUUUAGCACAAUUUAUAGAACCAAACAAAAUAAAAAAUAUGAAAAAUAAUUUUUUGGUAAAUAUGCCAUGUUGAAUUUAUAGGUAUAUAGAAAUGUAAAUACUCGAAUACUUUAAAUUUUCUCAUAUUCAUAUUAAUAACUUAUAUUUAUUUUUAUAUGUAUUUUUUGUUUACCAAAACUUUUUGCUUAGUAUAUAUAGGAAGCACAGGAAUCCUCUCUCUGUUUUAAUUUUAUUGUACCAGAGAUAUGAACUAGGUUUAAUGGCUAACACUAUCCCACUAAACUCAUCAUAUGUCAUCCCUCCAUCCUAAAACGUAAGGCAUUUUAGAGAUUUAAGGACAUAUUAGUAUAGGACCGACAAAGAACACAUGUACUCUUAAGUUAAGAUGUGGAUAGCUGUAUUUCCUUGUUGUUUUAAUGACAAUUGCAGAUAACAAGGAGCUCAAUUCACUAGUCCCUCAAUCAGCCAAUCUAAUCCUGCUAACAGUGAUGAGAAUUGAUGCAAUUUCUUAAAUGCCUAGAAUGCCUUAUAUUUGAGGAUAGUUUUUGAAUGAUUAGAUGCCUUGUAUUUCAUGAUGGAGGGAGUAUAUACCAUAAAAUUUGAUUCCCUCAAUAAUACUAGUAGAAAUCAUGGCAGUAAGGCUUGAUACGCAUAUAAUAUAUUUUUUUGCUAGAGUUUCUUGUAUAUGAGAAUCAUAGACUAAACCCAUCAUAUAGUACCAUGUAGAGAAUCCAUCUCAUUUUUGACCCAUAAUUUAUUUUGGAUUUUGAAUAAAGUAUAUUAGAUUCCUCUAGAAAGCUAUAUAAUAGAGAGAAACAAAUUAGAUCAUUUUUUAAGCAUAUACUGUCCAUGGAUUACCUAGAAUUUUUCGGUAUAGUACGCGUCAAAACGUUUGACAAUAUUCAAACGAACCACAUGUGUAGACAGCAAAAAAUUUCUAAAUGUUGCAAAUUGGUUAUGGGCUUACCACUAGAUGAACUAGCUGUCUUGUUUCGACCUAGUUGCCUCGAAUGAUGAUCACGCUGGAAACCGGGAACAGUAGAGGUCUGAUUAGUGUUAAUUGCGCCGCCUGUUGCAUAAGAAACAAAUCAGAAAUGGAAUGGUUGUCCAAUAAUUCGAACAGAUAAACUGUUGUAAAAUUAACUGUGACAUAUCUAGAACUUUAACAUCUCACAAUAUUGAAUUUAACAUAUCUAGUCAUGUUUUUGUAUAAAUUUACUGUCCGUGUUAACGUUUUGUUUUUGCUGAAUAGCAAGCAAAACCUUUACACACAACUUUCUAACUGUCUUCUUUACAGACAGUACUAGGAUAAUGUGCUUCCUAGGUUCCUAUUGUUGGGUUGAGAAUGCUUGGGUUCAAUCUUGUAAACAAAUGUUAAUUGUAAACAUUGCAAUUUGGAUAUGCGCUUACCAUUGGGUGCACUAUUUGUGUGUUUUUUUCACCUAGUCUUGAGUGAUGAUUACGCUGAAAACCGGGAACAUUAGAGAUCAGAUUACUAUUGAUUGCGCCGCCUGUUGCAAUAAAAACAAAUUAGAAAAACAAAUUAGAAAACUAAUGGGUGUCCUGAUAAUCUGAACAGAUAACUGUUGUAAAAUGGACUGCAACAUAUCUAGAACUUAAACAUCAUCUCUUCAAUUUAAAUUAACUAGUCAUGAUUUUGUAUACAUUUACUAUUUGUGCCAACUAUUUUUAUUGCCUAUAAAUCAAGCAAAAAGCCCGUACACUCAGCAUCCUAGCUAACUGUCUUCUUUACGGACCGUACUAGGAACAUGUGGUUACUAGAGUACGGUACACACUGUAUUACAUGUUCCUUAAAGUGUUCUGCAGGUUUCGGCCUCUGUGGCGUAAGUAUUCUAGUAUGGUGGAACUCGUAUGACACCUAUUGUUUCUCCAUGUAUGUUGAUUAUAAUUAACAUAUAAAUCUUUGUUCGCAUGCUUCUCCAAACGUAGCACCGCCCAAUUAGCAUUUUUUAUAUGAAGCGAGAAAUUGCAACAUAUAGAUUGGUGUAAAUGAACUGCAACAUAUCUAGAACUUAAACGUCUCACAUUCAAUUUAAAUAAAUUAGUCAUGGUUUUUGCAUAUAUUUACUGUUUGUAACAACUAUUUUUUCUUACCAAGCAAAAAAAAGCCCUUAUACACUCAGCAUCCUAACCGUCUUCUUUACAGACAGUAAUAGGAACAUGUGGUUAUACUACGUUUCCCAGAGUACGUGUACACUCUGUAUUACAUGGUCCUUUUUGGUGUUGGGAUUUGGCCCCUGUGGCCUAAGUAUUCUAUUACGGAUUUACAACGGUGGAAUUAGUACCACCUCUGUUGUUUAUCUGUAUAUGUUGAGUCUAGUUAAUAUAUAAAUCUUUGUUGGUUUGCCGCUGGAUUAAUAAUUUUACAUGGAUUAGUAUAUGUUCAAUCAGAUUGACAAAACCUCUAAACCUUACAAUUUGAUUAGCGCUUACAUUGGAUGUACUAGCUCUGUUGUUUUGACCUUGUCUCGAGUGAUGAUCACCGGUAGAGAAACGAGCAUUAGUCUCGAACUCCCGGUUGGGAAACCUCAUAGAUCUCGGUUUUCCUAACCGAGACUAAUCAUUCAAGACUAAGACCCGAGAUUAAAGGGUUUUGCGCUAAAAAAAUAUUAGAAAUUCUCAGGAGGCCCUCCCCACAUACGCACGUCGCAAGGCAUAAGUCACCUGAUUUUUCACGCGAAAUAUGCACGUGCACGGUGUGUGGGAUUCGAACCCACGACCUCAAGACUCGCAUGUAGCUUCCUUACCAUCUCACCUACACAGUACAUCUAACUGAGUAGAGGAUGCAAUCCUUUUGUAGUAACUUGUGGGGACCCUUUAGUACUGGUUGGUGUACCAACCGGAACUAAAGGUCACUGAGGCUUUAGUCCGGGUUUGUAACACCAACCGGGACUAAAGGAUCACCUUUAGUCCCCGUUGGUGCCUCUUUAGUCCCGGGUCAAAAACAACUGAGAUUUUUGUUGAGGAUGGGAGGUCAUUUUUCUACUAGUGGAUUAUGCGGAAAACUAGUAGCAAUAGAGAUCCGAUUACUAUUACUUGUGCCGCCUGUUAUUGCAAUAGAAAUAAAUUAGAAAACAAAUGGUGUCCAAAUAAUAUGUACAUAUAAACAGUUGUAAAACAAACUGCAACAUAUCUAGAACUUAAUCAAUUUAUAAAUUACUCAUGGUUUAUAUAAAUUUAGUGUUUGCAAUAACUUUUUUCUUUUGCCUAUAUAGCAAGGAAAAAAAACCUUAGACACAACAUUCUAAAAGUCUUCUUUGCAAAAAGAGCUAGAAACAUGUGGUUUCUAUAGUACUGGUACACACAGUAUUACGUGGUCCUUAAUUUGGUGUUCUGGUUUUGGCCCUUGUGGCGAAAGUACUCUAGUACGGUGGAAUUACUAUCACCUCUAUUGUGUAUUUGUAUACGUUGGAUCUAUCAACUGCUCCCUCCAUCCCAAAUUACUAUUUAUUUUGAUUUUUAUAGAUACAUAGCUUUUGGUAUGCAGCUAUAUAUAUAUAUAUAUACACACACACUAUGUCUAGAUACGUACCAAAAGCUACGCAUGUUAACAGUAAUUUGGGACAGAGGGAUUAAUAUACAAAUCUUUGUUGCCUUGCCGUUUUGAGCAUAGCACCGCUGGCUUGUUUCUUCGAUGCACCUAUGUUAGCAUUAGCCUUGAUGCACCUAUUUUGUGUCCUGCUUCCGCACAUAUGACAUAUGCUCUAGAAGUGAGAUGAGCCGGGGCCUCACCUCAUCUUAUCCAAGGCGGAGAGCUGGGAGAACGAGAGAACACCAUAUCCAAUCAUCAGUGAUCACACAAGAAGCUCGCCUCGCAUCCUUGGCGUUGGUGCCAUACUGUGAACCCUAGCGAGUUUGCUAUGCCACCAUGCAUAUGCUGCAGCCUCUAUGUUCCCAGAUGAGUAUGCUUCCAAAAGCAUCACCUUGGUUUCGCAGGACAGCAGGCUAUGACGAUCUCGCACCACUGUGCUGCCGUGUGCACUUGUGGUCAAGGAGGACAAUUUGCAACCACGUUGUACAACCACCAUCACCAUCUAUAACAGUCGUCCCCUUCAUCCGUCUUAUUUAUCAUACCACCUUUUUCUUAUCUCCAACACCUUCAACUUAACCAGGGCAAUCUGAAAUUUCAGUCUCUUCCUGAAGUCAAAGUUGUAGUAUUCUACGAGAUGUACAACUUUGUAGUAGGCUGGUCUCCGGGGUCGUUUCCCUAGCAGAGCUGGUUGGUUUCUGCAGAGAAACUAACAAGAUGUUGCAUCUUGUUACAAUGGUAGAGUCCCACUGAACAUGUUUUUUGCAAGAGAUAUGGAUCGCCCUGUUGUUCCCAAUAAUUAACUCUUGCUGACCGCUCCCAUCCAGAUGUUCAUGACAGUUCUCGAUUGUGAAAAAAGCUGCUUCUAAGGAAUGAUGAAUCACCUAACACUCCAACAACCGAAUCGUACAGAGUGCAAAAAUCCGACUCACUUCAAACACCCGAUCACGGCAAAUUAGGUAAUAAAAACAGUCAAGAGGGCUGUCAACUUAAAUGAUUUUGAAUUCCUCUCGGUCGAUCUUGACAUGGAUAGUCCACUGGGUCAUUGGCUAGAGAAGUACCGCCAAGCAAAGGGAGAGCAAUCCACGCGGCAUAAGAGUGAAGGGGUUAACUUUUUCAUUUUAGUUUCAUUUUGAUGUCCAAAUAUUAUAUAUAAGUUCAGUGAAGUUAAUAGAAAAAUAGCAUCCCUAUACCAGACAAUAGUACUGUGUGGUGUGGUAGUAAGCAGUAAGAGCUAGGCUGAGGCUUGAUGUUGUGAGUUUAAAUCCUACUGGAAACACACUUGCUUAUUUCGUGUGAAAUCCAAUGUGUUCAACCUUGAGAUGGGCGAUGGUGUGAUAGUUGCUGGCCUGGAUAAAAUUUCUCUUUCCACAGUUAUCUAUUUUUAUAGACAGUUUUUUUACAAAAUUAUAACCAUCGGUUAGUAAUUGCAUGUGAAGAAUUAUUGACAGAGAGGCCAUUCACUUUCUAUGGGAUCGAACUCACAUAGACUCAAAAUUUAAUCUCUGUUUCAAAUUAUAGUUCAAUUUAUAUUUGUUAUACGUCAACCUUCUCUAAUAUUAAAUUAUUAAUUAAAUUUUAUUAAAUCUAUCAUAAAAUAUGUUUACAUAGUGAAUUUAUUUGAUACUGUAUAUAUAUACUAAUGUAUUUUUUACUAAAAGUACGGGUGGAGGAAGUACUUUAAUUACACCGGGGAACUCUAUGUGCGGACGCGAUCCUUCGCAUAAGUAGUGCAAGGCCCAACCCACUCACAGACAAGGUUAGUUUUCACCAGGUUUUGAUAGUCGAAGUAUCCCUAGAACCACCACUUCUUGGUCGGAGGCUGGUCCGUCGGUCGACAGCUAUAUGCAGCAGGGCAGCAAGGUGGCGUGGCGCCGCCAGGAGCGGAUGGAGUUGUGGCCGGCAAUUACACUAGCGCGGCUGAGGAAAACAUACGCCGGGUCGCCGGCAAAAGGUUGUUAUCCGGAUCGAGGUUGAAGGAAGCGGAUGGGUCGCACUCGCAAGCUUGCUCCUUCAACUUCGUCCUUCCAAUUUACAUAUCUGCAUAUAUAGGAACGGUUGCAUAGGUUUAAUUUGGCUCGUUCUUCCUUUGUUCGGGAACAUGCAUGAUCAGCUAACGCUGAGAACCUGGAGCGGGUACACAACCAUGUGAUAAAAAGCCGCUUCAUUCAUGAAAAAGGGGGAAAAAAAGAUGUCCCAAAGUUUCCCACAGAACUAAAGAAUAAAUUGGAAACGUGCAGCGAUAUUCAAGUCUCAUUUUAUAACCCACAAAUUCAUCCUAAAAAAACUAAUAAGCAACGCAUAUGUUCUAUGCAUGACAGCAUCACAUGCACGAAGGCAUAGCACGUGAAAACAAAACAAAAAGAAUCGACUUACCAUUUUUGCUUGGUCCCGUCGACUGCCCAGCGCUUGGCUUUUUAGGGUCCAUGUAUGCUUGCUAUAUGGUCUUCUUCGCGUGUACACCAGCUAGAGGCUACCAUUUAUAUACGAAAUUUAGCUAGGUGUAGACAAAAAAACCAUGAUAUCAACACGUCCGGUUGACGUACUAUGCUAAUUCGUCUUCGUAGACAAAAGAGAUUUCUUGCCGUGUGUGAAAUAUCUUUGCAGGAAAACAUUAUGCAAGUUCCUAUCUAGUUAAUAUAUGCCGGUUGAUACGGUAUUCUGUCACUAUACAUUCAUCGCGGCCUCGAUUCGUUGACUACCGUAUCAACCAAACAAUUAAUGAUGGGCGUAACAAAUGAUUUUUUUUGUUUAGUUUAAUCUCAUUUUAUGCAGUACCGACUCUGUGUUUGUUGGGACCUAAUUAUCUUGUAUAUCUACACAAUUAGAGAAACACUCACCUGUAUUGGUUCAUCUAUGCUGGAUAAUUGAGAGUCAACUUGGUUAAGUCAUUUGUGCCGGCUCUCAACAAUAGCCGGCACUAGAUCUAAAUAGAGCCGGCAGGGAUACUUUAAGGACUUUCCGAGCCAAUUGUAUUUAGAAUCAGCGGGGAUAGUCCAUCUGCACUGACUUUAUAAAGAGGCGUCGUGGAUAAUUUUUCCAUAUUUGUUAUGUGAAUUUUAGCUUGUAUUUGAAAAUUUAUAACAUUUGCAUACGGACCCGGAUGGAGACAAACUUAUAUAAAGAAAACGAUAAAUUUUGAUAGGAUCUACUCCUCCGUUCCAAAUUGUAGGUCGUUUUGACUUUUCUAGAUUCAUAGAUAUUAUUACGAUGCAUUCAUAGAUAUUAUUAUGAUGCAUUCAUAGAUAUUAUUACGCAUCGUAAUAAUAUCUAUGAAUCUAGAAAAGUCAAAACAACUUACAAUUUGAAAUGGAGGGAGUAUAACUUUAUAGUAGUUUUUUAGUUUGAAGUCAUGUAAAUACCCAAAUAAUGGGUGAAAGCUCGAGGCAACUGGCGUAAAGGUAUAAAACUCCCUCUUGUGUGAAGUUAUGUCGUGUACAUUGGACGGUAAGGAGCGUGAGAUCGAAAGCUAGAUACACCACAUGUGUGCGUAUUUCACGUGAAAACACGUGAUGUGCCUUCUAACACGUGACGGUUAGGGUUUCUCAGGGGUAGCUGGCCUUCCAGGACUAUAUUUUUUUGCUAUCUAUUUUUCCAAUUUCUAUUUUGACUAUCCAUGCCGUAUGCAGCAACUGACAUGGAUACUUAUCGUCCGUGCUGGCUAGCACCGCCAGUACAGAUAUGGUACGUGGUGAGUAUUUUUUUUUUUUGCAUCGGCUUUAUGUGCUAGUAUGAUAACCACCCCGGAUGAGAUUUUAGAGACUAUCACGGAAAGGUGGUCUCCUGUAAAUACAAGUUGGCCUGUUAGAAUAGGAUUAUUUUUCACGGUCAUAGUUAUACCUCAAAGUAACCGUCCUAGUUAGUCGCUGCACAUUCGUCAUAGCUGGUUUGUUUGUUUCUUUCGAUCAUAUCGAUGCAAACGAUGGACGGCACACCAGGCCACAAAAGCUUUUUGCUAGCAGUUAGAAGUGGUUUGUGAUCGUGCCCGCCAGUAAUUUUAAGCCAGCACAAAUACCUAUUUGUGAUGGUGGGUGCUCACCCGCCAGCAUAGAUCACUCUCUGCUGGCCGGCAUCCUUAGCCACCCUCCAGCACAUAUGCUUUCUGUGCUGGCGAGUGUUGUAAUGGUUCAUGUGCUGGCAAGUGCUUAUGCCGCCCAUAGUUAAAAUAUUUUUCUUAAUCUAAAAAAUAGUUUUUGUGUAUCGUAAUAGUUUCAGAGAGAAAUAUUUAAGAUGGAUUAUUCAAAAUUAACAUGGAAGACGAUAAGGAAUAAGUAAAACAGUAAUAUUGAAAAUUCAUCAAAUCGGCACGCGAGCCUAUUAUUUCUCAACAAACCUACGACGGAUACUUCCAGAAAAAAAA